AAGGCUCCUAUCAGGUGAAGGGCUGGAAACUCACGCAGCAACAGUUUGUGGCUCUUUUGUGGAAGAGGCUGCUGAUCGCCAGACGGAGUAGAAAAGGAUUCUUCGCUCAGGUGAAAUAUGCUGGUUUCUGGCUUCAUGGGUGGGCUACACACUCUCUGACCAGUGAAAGCAGAAUGCUGCUGCAGUCAAGAUAUAGAUAUUGGAGCUAGAUUAUCUGUAUUUCCAUCCCAGUUCUAUUUCUUGCCAGUUUUGUGUCUGCCAGCAAAUGACUUCUCCAGGCCUCAGUCUCCUCACCUGAAAAAUAGAGAUAAUAAUGUGCCUAUGACACCAUGUUAUCCUGAGGAUAAACAUGAAUAAAUGCUUAGAAUGGAGUCUGAUGCUUGGGUUUAUGGGUAUGUAUGUGUGUAUGUAUGUAUGUCUUUUAUUUUAGAGAACAACAUAAAAGGGUAAGCGUUUAGAAAAACUGUUAGGUAAAUUCAGCUAUCAUAACAUAAGUGAUGUUAUGCUCAGAUGCACUUGACAUAUGCACUUAUUAGAAACAUGAUUUUUCUCUAAGUUGAUGUUUAACUCAAAUGAUAAAAAGAUACCCAGAGAGAUCAGAAUGUAACUGGCAAAUAGAGAAGACUCAUACUACUCCCUUCAAGUCAGAGUUUGUAUGCUCACUUGCUUAGUUAGAAGAGUUAAAAUUAUUUCACUCUGUAAAAAUUAAGAAAUGUGGAGAAAAGUUUAUAGAGAGUCUUCCUUACAGACUGUAUGUAUGAUACUAAGAGUAUGAGUUUGGGACAUACAGACCUGGAUUUGAAGUCUGGUUGUGUUACUAGCUGGCUUUGUGACCAUGAACAAGUAACUUGACUCUCUGAUCUUUAAUAACCAAGUUUUUGGAUAGUGGCAAUGAUAGUAACACCACAAAUAACAGCAUAGGGUAGUAAUGAUAAUUAAGAUAAUUAUCAUUAGAGUACUUUCCAGUAGAAUUGCUCACUUAAUGAUAAUUUUCUGCAUUGAAGCCCAAGAGCCAGAGUCAAUAUGAAUUGACUUUUUAAAGGAUAAGUUUCUCAGCAAUAAAUGGAAAGACCUUUGAGUUUACUUGUAAAGUGUGUAUGAGUCAUUGUUUUCAGAGUAGGUUUGUAGAAAGUUUGAGGAAUUUCAAGAAGGAGUUGCGUAUUUAUGCUUUGAGAGGUGAUCAUGGCAGACAAUGGCUGCUAUUGCUUGUGACUGGAGUCACUGCUUUUAAGAACUGGUUUCAGGAUUAUGGGAUCUGAUCUCUUCUCAGUCCUCAGAUUAUAAUGAGAAUACUGAGGCCCUACAGUGGUGAUGUCAUGUGGGUACACUUGUAUUAGUGUCAGACCCAGGAUUCAGGACUUGUGGCUCCUAGUCCAGGGCUUGUUCACUCAGUUUUCUUCUGAGCUGAACUGCGCUCAUGACCCAUUGUGGUCUUUAUCAUCUUCAUGGGAAGAAAUGCAGGACCCAGAAUUCUGAGUCACCCUAACGUGGGGUUGCUCUUUACUCUGUGAAGUUCCUAGCCUAGUGCUUCUGCCAGGUGACUAGAGACUCUGGCAUUGUGCUGCCAGAUUCUAGAAAGUCCUGGAGGGAAGAUGUUUAGUGUUCAGGAUCCAUUGCUUUCACUCUGCCCACAAGGCCUUGGGCCAGCCAUGGGCCCUGUCACCCUCCUUCUUGUGCUGCCUGGUCUGGGAACCUGGCUGGACUUGCAGGGAUUUGCUCCUUGGACUUCUUUCUAACCUUAUCUUUUCCUGCCAUCCCCCUACCCCCUCCAUUGCCUGGUUACAGAUUGUCCUGCCAGCUGUGUUUGUCUGCAUUGCCCUGGUGUUCAGCCUGAUUGUGCCACCCUUUGGCAAGUACCCUAGCCUGGAACUUCAGCCCUGGAUGUACAAUGAGCAGUAUACGUUUGUCAGGUACGUGUUUGUCUUCUGGGCCCAGGGGAGAGGAGGGUUCGAGUAGAUCAAGGGUGAUCACUGUGCUGAGGGUCAAAAGAAUAGAGUCAAGAAUUGCACAGUGGAAGGGGUUUUACCAGCUGUGCCUCAGGCCCCUAUGUAAGCUACUACUGCAUGCCAAGAACAUCAGUGAGCUACCCUUGACUUAGCAGCUAGUCCUCUCUCGGACAUUUCACCCCUUCUCCUUAUGCUGUGAGUGUCAGGACAACCCUGCAUAUUUUAGAUGAUAUUCCCUUGAUAAAAUCUAAAAUUGUUUUAAAAUAUUUGUAUUUUUAGAGUUAUGUUUUAAUUUUGUUAUCUAGUCAUAGGGCUUCCAUACAGUGUCAAAACAGAAGCUUCACAUUCUUAUUUUCUAUAUAGUAUAAUUCAUGUAAUUAUUACCUACUCUUUAAAUUUAUGGUUUUGGCUAAUGUUAACGUUUGGCAAAAAUACUUUCUACUCCAUAGUAAUCCUAUGCAUGAAAUAAAAGGACAAAGGAAUUUCUGGAUAUUGUUUGGCAAAGGUUUUCUGGGAUUUAUAGGUGUAUAGAUAGGAGAGAUAUAUAAGUGAUAUCUAGAAGAGGUUUAAAAAUGAAAAUAACAUAUACCAAACAUAUGAAUUUGUCUCUUUUUCUCCAAACUAUGCUUUCUUCUUAAUUCAGGUUUACUUGCCUUUUUCCCUUCCUAGCUGUUGACCUUGUAUUGCCUAUAGCUAUAAAAUAUGGCAUGUGUUUGUGACCUGUGCCUAUUAUUUCUUGUACUUUCGAGUUGUCUGUGUACACAGUCAGUAAAAUCUGCCUGUCCUUCCUGGAAAAUACUGGUUAUCUGGGCCAAAUGGGUAAUCAUGAAAGUAAUUUUGAAAUACUGAUCCUUAAUGAGUCUCAUUACUUCAAAUUACAAUAUAUAUGUAAAUGUGUGUAUAUGUGUGCAUAGGUACACACAGGUACACACAUCUUCAUACAUAUUCCAGUUUGGGGUGCUCUAUACUACCCAGAUGCUGAAUAUAUGGCCAGAGUCCAAGCUCCUCAUACCUAGUUUCUGUAUUUUAUUCAUUUUUCUUUUAAGAGCCUAGAAUCCAGGAAGUACUUAAUAGAGUGUUUAAUUUAGAAAACUUUUCUUUCUCCCUGUUCCUGGUUUAAAUGAAUUACUGAGAUGGUUGCUUCCCAUGUACUCACAGUAAUGAUGCUCCUGAGGACACUGGCACCCAGCAACUCUUGAAUGCCCUCACCAAAGACCCUGGUUUUGGGACCCGGUGUAUGGAAGGAAACCCAAUCCCGUGAGUGUCACUUUCGCCAUAAGUUGUCUUCUCAUGCCUGCCAUCUGGUUUGAUUUCUGAUAUACUGCAUUUAUCAAUUGCAUGCCACAUUGUAACCACUAUUAUUUGUCUUUUGAAUCACUUUUUAUUUUUAAAAAGUGAAUAUAAUAACCUAAUCAGACCCAUCUAGGAACAUUUAGAGAGACUUCUAACAUCCUGCAAAGGAAAUCAUUAAAGACAUUUGUUUACUUCUUUAGAACGUUAAUAUUUAAUUUAAAUAGCACUUUAUACUUACUAAAUGCUUUUAUCACUUCUGCCCCCAACUCCUGUAUUUUAGUGCAACAAUAGGCUGCCAUCGUAUAUAAUUUGCAAUUUUGCUCAUCAGCUUCUUCACCUUAACAACCUGAAAAGAUAAAAUAGAUUUUUCUAAGAGGGGACACUUUCUUGUUCCAUUGCAUAUUUUUUCUUCAGGAUAAUGCUUUAUUCUUUUAUUAAACAACUUUCAGUGUAAUAAGUGUAUAUUUGUUAUGUACCAAAUAAUCACAGUUGUUAUGUCUUUCCUUAAUACUCAGAUAGUCCCAUAUUAAGCAAAUGGGAACCCUUUCAGGUUAGCUCCUGUGUCCCUUUAAACCAGUGUCAGUACUUGAACAUUCAGGAACAUUUGACCUUAAUGUAUUAGGUUUACUUCUUAUUUCCUGCCCUAGAUCUGGAACCAGAUAUUUAUCCAAGAUUUUUAGUGCCUUUUAAUAGGAAGCAGUAUUUAUUUUAUUUUAAAUUUUGAUUUGUUACAUAUGACAACAUAAUGCAUUACAAUUUAUAUUACACAUAUAGAGUACAAUUUUUCAUAUCUCUGGUUGUACACAAAGUAGAGUCACAUCCUUCGUGUCUUCUUACAUUUACUUAGGGUAAUGAUGACCAUCGCAUUCCACCAUCUUUCCUACCCCUCUGUUCCCUCCUUUCUCCUCCCUCCCCUUUUCCCUUUUGCCCUAUCUAGAGUUUAUUUAAUCCUCCCAUUGCACCCUGCCCCCCCCAGCAUAUUAUGAAUCAGCAUCCUUAAAUCAGAGAAAUCAUUUAGCAUUUGUUUUUUUGGGAUUGGCUAAUUUCACUUAGCAUUAUAUUCUCCAGCUUCAUCCAUUUACCUGCAAAUGCAAUGAUUUAUUUUCUCUUUUAAUGCUGAAUGCUUAAUAAUAUUCCAUUGUGUAUAUAUACCACAUUCUAUAUCUAUUCAUCUACUGAAGGGCAUCUAGAUUGGUUCCACAGUUUUAGCUAUUGUGAAUUGUGCUGCUAUAAACAUUGAUGUGGCUGUGUCCUUGUAGUAUGCUGUUUUUAAGUCCUUUGGGUAUAGACCAAGGAGUGAGAUAGCUGGGUCAAAUGGUGGUUCCAUUCCCAGUUUUCCAAGGAUUCUCCAUACUGCUUUCCAUAUUGGCUGCACCAAUUUGCAGUCCUACCAGCAAUGUAUGAGUGUGUCUUUUUCCCCACAUCCUCGCCAACACUUACUGUUUGUAUUCUUGAUAGUUGCCAUUCUGACUGGAGUGAGAUAAAAUCUUAGUUUUGAUUUGCAUUUCACUAAUUGCUAGAGAUGUUGAACAUUUUUUCAUAUAUUUGUUGAUUUAUUGUAUAUCCUCUUCUGAGAAGUGUCUGUUUGGUUCCUUGGCCCAUUUACUGAUUGGGUUAUUUGGUUUUUUGGUGUUAAGAUUUUUGAGUUCUUUAUCUAUUCUAGAGAUUAGUGCUCUAUCUGACGUGUGUGUGGUAAGAAUUUGUUCCCAAUUAAUAGGCUCUCUAUUUACCUCAUUGAUUGUUUCUUUUGCUGAAAAAAAACUUUUUAGUUUGAAUCUAUUCCAUUUAUUGAUUCUUGAUAUUAGUUCUUGCACUAUAGGAGUCUUAUUGAGGAAGUUGGCACCUAAUCUGACACGAUGGAGAUUUGGGCCUACUUUUUCUUCUAAUAGAUGCAGUGUCUCUUGGUUUAAUUCCUAGGUCCUUGAUCCACUUUGAGUUUUCUUUUUUUUUACUACCUUUAUUUAUUUAUUUAUUUUUAUGUGGUGCUGAGGAUUGAACCCAGGGCCUCGCAUGCCUUGUGCAUGCUAGGCGAGCGCUCUGCCACUGAGCCACAACCCUAGCCCCGCCCCCAUACACUUUGAGUUUUGUGCAUCAUGAGAGAUAGAGGUUUAAUUUCAUUUGUUGCACAUGGAUUUCCAGUUUUCCCAGAACCACUUGUUGAAGAGGCUAUCUUUUCUCCGAUGCACAUUUUUGGCACCUUUGUCAAAUAUAAGAUAACUGUAAUUAUGUGAGUUAGUUUCUAUGUCCUCUAUUCUGUAUCAUUGGUCUACAAGUCUAUUUUGGUACCAAUACCAUGUUCUUUUUAUUACUAUUGCUCUGUAGUAUAGUUUAAGGUCUGGUAUAGUGAUGCCACCUACCUCACUCUUCUUGCUAAGGGUUGCUUUAGCUAUUCUGAGUCUAUUAUUUUUCCAGAUGAAUUUCAUGACUGCUUUUCCUAUUUCUAUGAGGAAUGUCAUUGGGAUUUUGAUUGUAUUAAAUAUGUAUAGUGCUUUUAGUAGUAUGGUCAUUUUGACAAUAUUAAUUCUGCCUAUCCAAGAAUAAGGUAGAUCUUUCCAUCUCUUAAGGUCUUCUCUAAUUUCUUUCUUUAGCGUUCCAUAGUUUUCAUUGUAGAGGUCUUUCAUUUCUUUUGUUAAGUUGAUUCCCAAGUAUUUUAUUUUAUUUUUUGGUGCUAUUAUAAAUGGGGUACUUUUCCUCGUUUCCCUUUCAGAGGAUUUGUUAAUGAUACAUACAAAUUCCUUUUGAUUUAUGGUUGUUGAUUUUAUAUCCUACUACUUUGAUGAAUUCAUUUACUAGUUCUAGAAGUUUUCUGGUGGAGCUUUUUGGGUCUUCUAGGUAUAGAAUCAUAUCGUCAGCAAAUAGUCCUAAUUUAAGUUCUUCUUUUCCUAUAUCUAUCCCUUUAAUUUCUUUCAUCUGUCUAAUUGCUCUGGCUAGUGUUUCAAUAACUAUGUUAAAUAGAAGUGUUGAAAGAGGGCAUCCCUGUCUUGUUCCAGUUUUUAGAAGGAAUGCUUUCAAUUUUUCUCCAUUUAGAAUGAUGUUGAUCUGGGGCUUAGCAUAGAUAGCUUUUACGACGUUAGGACAUGUUUCUGUUAUCCCUAGUUUUUCUAGUGUUUUGAAUAAGAAGGCGUGCUAUAUUUUAUUGAAUGCUUUUUCUGCAUCUAUUAUGCUGCAUCUAUUAUUUCUGCAUCUAUUAUAUGAUUAUAUGUCUUACCUUUAAGUCUCUUGAUGUGAUGAAUUGCAUUUAUUGAUUUCUGUAUGUUGAAGCAACCUUGCAUCCCUGGGAUGAACCCCAUUUGAUCAUGGUGUACCAUCUUUUUGAUAUGUUUUUGUAUUCAAUUUGCCAGAAUUUUACUGAGAAUUUUUGCAUCUAUGUUCAUUAGAGAUUUUGAUCUGAAGUUCUCUUUUUCUGAUGUGUCUUUGCCUGGUUUUGGAAUCAGUGAGAUAUUGACCUCAUAGAAUGUGUUUGGAAGUGGUCCCUCUUCUUCUAUUUCCUGAAAUAAAUUGACGAGUAUUGGUGUUGGUUCUUCUUUAAAGGUCUUAUAGAACUCAGCUGUAUCCAUCUGGUCCUGGGCUUUUCUUUUCUUUUUUUGGUUGGUAGGCUUCUGAUGGUGUCUUCUAUUUUGUCACUUGAAAUUGAUCUGUUUAAAUGUGUCUAUCAUCCUGAUUCAAUUUGGAGAAAUCAUAUGACUCUAGAAAUUUGUUGAUGCCUUCGAUAUUUUCUAUUUUAUUGGAGUACAAGUUUUCAAAAUAAUUUCUAAUUAUUUUGAAGAUAAUUUCUAAUUAUCUUCUGUAUUUCUGUAGUGUCAUUCAUGAUAUUUCCUUUUUUAUCACGUAUGUUAGUAAUUUGAUUUUUUUCUCUCCUUCUCUUUGUUGCAUGGCUGACGGUCUGUCAAUUUUAUUUAUGUUUUCAAAGAACCAACUUUUUGUUUUGCAUUUUUUUCAGUUGUUUCUUUUGUUUCAAUUUCAUUGAUUUCAGCUCUGAUUUUAGUUAUUUCCUGUCUUCUAUGCUUUUGGAAUAAAUUUGUUCUUUUUUUUCUAGGACUUUGAAAUGUAAAGUCAUUUAUCUGUUGACUUUUUCUUCUUUUAAGGAAUAAACUCCAUGAAGUGAACUCUCCUCUUAGAACUGCCUUCAUAGUGUCCCAGAGAUUUCGAUAUGUUGUGUCCGUGUUCUCAUUCAUCUCUAAAAUUUUUUUAAUCUCCUCAUUGAUGUCUUCUGCAACCCAUUGUACCUUCAGUAGCAUAUUAUUUAGUCUCCAGGUGUUGGAGUAGAUUUUAUUUCUUACAUUGAUUUCUAAUUUCAUUCCAUUAUGAUCUGAUAGAUGCAGGGUAGUAUCUUUACUUUUUUAUAUUUGCUAAGGGUUGCUUUGUGGCAUAAUAUAUGUUCUAUUUUAGAAAAGGAUCCAUAUGCUGCUGAGAAGAAAGUGUAUUCUCUUGUUGAAGGAUAAGAUAUUCUAUAUAUGUCCUUUAAGUCUAAGUUAUUGAUUGUGUUUUUGAGUUCUAUAGUUUCUUUGUUCAGCUUUUGUUUGGAAGAUCUAUCUAGUGGUGAAAGAGGUGUGUUAAAGUCACCCAAAAUUAUUGUGUUGUGGUCUAUUUGAUUCUUGAACUUGAGAAGAGUUUGUUUGUUGAAUGUAGAUACUCCAUUGUUUGGAGCACAUAUAUUUAUAAUGGUUAUGUCUUGUUGAUGUAUGGUUUACUUGAGCAGUAUGUAGUGUCCUUCUGUAUCCCUUUUGGUUUACUUUAGCUUGAAGUCUACUUUAUUUAAUAUGAGGAUGGAAUCCCCUGAUUGUUUCUGCAUUCCAUGUGAGGGGUAUGAUUUUUCCCAACCUUUCACCUUCAGUCUGAAUGUUUUUUCCUAUGAGAUGAGUCUCUUGGAGGCAGCAUAUUGUUGGGUCUGCUAGUUUAUAUCUUUUGAUCCAUGAGUUUAGGCCAUUAACAUACAGGGUUAUUAUUGAGGCAUGCUUUGUAUUCCCAGCCAUUUUUAAAUUUUUGAUAUUUAACUUGACUUGAUUUCUCCUCGGAUUAGUUUUUCCUUUAGUGUAAUACCUCCCUCUGCUGAUUUUCAUCAUUGUUUUUCAUUUCCUCUUCAUGGAAUAUUUUGCCAAGGAUGUUCUGUAGUGUAGGCUUUCUAGUUGUGAAUUCUUUUAACUUUUGUUUAUCAUGGAAGAUUUUUAUUUCAUGAAAUAAAACUAAAGUUUAAUUUUGAAAACUAAAGUUUAAUUUUGCUGGGUAUAAGAUUCUUGGUUGGCAUCCAUUUUCUUUUAGAGCUUGGCAUAUGUUGUUCCAUGAUCUCCUGGCUUUGAGGGUCUGGGUUGAAAAAUCUGCUGAGAUAUGCAUUGGUCUCCUUGUAUACAUGAUCUGAUUCUUCUCUCUUGCGGCCUUUAAGAUUCUAUCCUUAUUCGGUAUGCUAUAAUGUGCCUUGGUGUAGAUCUGUUGUAAUUUUGUAAAUUUGGUGUCCAGUAAGCCUCUUUAUUUGGUUUUCCAAUUCAUUCUUCAUACUUGGGAAAUUUUCUGAUAUUAUCUCAUUGAAGAUUUUGUGCAUUCCUUUGGUUUGAAACUCUGUACCUUCCUCUAUCCCAAUAACUCUUAUAUUAAGUCUUUUGAUGGAUAGCAAGAAUUAUGGGAUACCAUACCAAGAUUCUUGAUGUUCUGUUCAUGGUUUCUUACUAUCUUCACUUUGUGGUCAACUUUAUUUUCCAGAUUGUAUACUUUGUCUUUAUUAUCUGACAUUCUUUCUUCCAAGUGAUCUAGUCUGUUGGUUAUACUUUCCAUUGAGUUUUUUAUUUGGUUUAUUAUUUCCUUCAUUUCAAGGAUUUCUGAUUGGUUUUUUUUUCAGAGUCUCUAUCUCUUUCUUGAAGUAUUUGCUCUCUUAUCUCUUUGUUGGAGUGAUCAAUUUUUGACUGUAUUCGCUCACUUAGGUCAUUCUUUAAUUCACAGAUCAUUUUAAUUAUGAACCUUCUGAACUCCUUCUCUGACAUUUCAUCAACUUCACUGUCCAUGGGUUCUGUUAUUGUAGUAUCCUGGUUUGUUUAUGGCACUUUCCUCCCCUUUUUUUUUUUCAUGUUGCUGCAGUACUGAUCAGAUUUGUAGUUACUGAUAUCCUUUCGAGGCCAUUUAUCUAUGUGUCUUCCUUUCUUGCAGUGUGGAUCUGAGAUAUUACAGUUUCUACCCCAUAUUCUUAUAGUACCCGUGUAGAUUGUCUGUACCUCACCUUGAUGUUGGGCUUCCAGACCCUGCUGGUGUCCCUCAAUGUAUGCUACUGCAACUAAAGGUGGUGGCAGCAAUAGCAGAGGUAACAUGAGAUAAUAGUGGGGGUACCCCAAGAUGGAUGCAAUGUCUUACAGAGAUGGGGCUGAAAGGGUGGGCCUUACACUGUCUUUGGGAUGCCUGCUCUGAGAUGCAGCUGCUUCUAGGCCCUGACUGUUGUCAAAAGGCAGGGGCUACUGUGUGGGGAAGGCUAUGGCGAUGUCUGCAGUGUCUCAAGAUCAAAGUGGGUUAGGCUUGGGCAUCCAGGUGUGUGUGUGGGGGUGGUGAACUUGGACCUACUCUGGGCCUGUCCCACAUAUGUUGAUGUGGGUGGAUCUAGGCCAGGCCUGGGCUCCCAUGGUGUUCUGUUGGUCUGAAGAGGUGGUCCUGUGCCAGAGCCUGAGUUCCGGGGAGUGUCUGCGGAUGGCGGAAUGGACCCAGGCCUACUGUCCAUUGCAUAUUUUUUACCCUACUUUCCUACAGAAUAUUUUUUAAAGAGUAGGCAAAUAAAUUCAGUGAUCAUAUGCAAAUGACUCUUUGAGUUAAGGGGAAAGCAAGUCAGGAGAUCAUGUGGUAAAGACAGUGGUGGCUUCUUUUUCCUGUGUCUUCUCUUCUACAGUUUUUGCAGUACUGAUCAGAUUUGUAGUUGCUGAUGUCCUCUCCAGGCCAGUUAUCCAGAAAGAUAGACCAUCAAAACAGAAAAUUCCUUAGAAAGAAAUUCCUUAGAACUUUUCAUGCUCAAAGAUUCCUGGAACUAAGUUGCAUGUGGGAAAGGGCAACCAUCCUGGCAACCCCCACUGAAAUUCCAAUUUUAGGUUUAUAGAAGGUGGUAGGACUGGAGAAAAUUUGACUGGGUACUUCUCAGUGGUCUUUAAGUUCAUCUCAGUCAAUUGUCUUUUGAAGGUUUUAGGAGCCAGCUUCAGGAGGACACAAUGUCUUAGUUUGACUUUUCCAUUUAGUUAACAGGCUUUAAAGAGUGGGAGAUCAAUCUGAAAGGCUGUUCAUUUGAUUUCUUUUAAUAUAUAAGAAAAUUGUAUGAAGUCUGUGGCUCUAUUUUAAAUUGUAGAAUUUUGAAACUGGAAGAGAGGCUAGAAAUAACAAGUCAUUUUGUACUUUUACCAGUGGAAAAAAUAAGCCCUGAGAGGACAAGGAAGUUGCUGAUGGUUUCAUAAGAAUUCAGAGUUCAUGUCAGAAAUAAAGGCCAUGUGUUUUGUCUCCUGGGAUGCUUAUACUAGCUCUUCUUAUACCAAGCAUUCUCACCCUACUCGCCCCACCCCCCUGAAUUCUCUACUCAUUUUAGAACAUAGAUUGAAUCUUGCCACUCUCCACAGGAUUUUUGGCACAUUGAGCAUAAAAUCCAGACUCCCUUCCCAGGCUCCUUCUGGCACCUGCCUCACUUUUCUCCUUGUUUAUCAUCUCUCUUCUUCUUAGCUUAUCACAUUCCAGUCACACUGUCUUCCUGUUGUUCCUCAAAUACAGAAACACUGCUUCUCAGGGUCUUCCACCUGACUUUUCAUUGCCUCCGCUUGGAGUAUUCUUCCCCCCCCCCCCAGAUCUUUGCCUGGCUUGUUCUCUCUCAUCAUUGAUGUUGUGGCUGAAUAUUGUUUCUUCAGGAGGAGGCUUCUUCCCAUGUGCUCUCCCCUUAUUUUGUUUUAUUUUUAGUCAUAUAAAAUUAAAUUGUUUAUUUGCUGUCUAACUCCUUUUUGGCAUGCAAAUGCCAUGAAGGCAUGGAGUUUGUCUUGCUCACUGCAGACUCACAGACAUGCACAAAAGCAUCUGGCUCAUAGCCAAUGCUCAGUGUGUGUGUUGUUUCAACAAAUGUUGGUGGCUGGAUCAAAUAGAGUUCAGUUUAUGAACAUUUAGGAUCUGUUUGUAUUCUAAUUUCCUUAUCUAUAAAACAGUGUUGCAAGGCUGUUGAGAGAUCAGAUAAUCAAACAAGGCUAUGCCCAUUCUUUGUAAAUGGUGAGGAAUGGGCUUAUGUUUGUGGUUGUUACAGAAUGAUCCUGUGCUCUUAAGGCAAUAGGAAAGGCCAGGCCCUCUCCAGUAAUCCCGCCCCUGAUGCUUUUCCUUUGCAGAGACACACCCUGCUUGGCAGGGGAGGAGGAGUGGACUACUGCCCCAGUUCCCCAGACCAUCAUGGACCUCUUCCAAAACGGGAACUGGACAAUGCAGAACCCUUCACCUGCCUGCCAGUGUAGCAGUGACAAAAUCAAAAAGAUGCUGCCUGUGUGUCCCCCAGGGGCAGGGGGGAUGCCACCUCCACAGGUGAGUCCCCAUCAGAGUAAGACUGCAUAGUUCAUGCAGGGUCAGCAGCCAGCAUCUGCUGGGAGCAGGAAUGAGUGAGAUGUGAGAUUAGGAUAGUUUAUUUCAGCCUCGAGGUUAAUGCUUAUCAUAAGGAAAAGCAAGGGAGUUUUGAGGGAAGGGGAUUUGGACCACAGUGUACCUAUGCCUGUCCCACAGUGUUGGUGUCAUAGGAAAGAGAGUGGUAGGCAUGGCUUCUAACCCUCGUUCUGCCACAAAUUAACUGGUGGCCUUCCAAAAGGCCAUUUUAAUUCUCUGGGCUUCCUUCUUAACUGCUAGAUUAGGGAGGCUGAACCAGAAAACUUUCAAUGGGCCUUACCAGUUCUGAAAUUUUUCUGCGAUUCUGAGUUUAGGACAGUUAUCUGAGCCUUUUUGUUUCUUCCUCACAAUUUUAGGAAGUCUUGUUUGUGCUACCUUUCUGCUGCUUUAUCAGCAUCCAAGUUGAAGGGUGAGAAUAAGGCAUUUUAAGCAGAUGUAAGAAGUCAUGGUUACCACUCUAAGUAGCUAAUCCACUCAAUGAACUCCAAUGAACACAAGAAUUCACUAGGCAAAGUUUGUGAUUCUGUGCCCCAAUAUCUCUUGUGGUAAAGAAAAAUCACAUCUCAGUGCUUAUUGUUUAGUUAUUCCAAAUAAUUCCCUAGGGAAGACCUUGGUGUGGUAUAAGUGCAUGACCAGUACUGAGGGCAGCAUGGACCAGAUCUUGGUGGUGGUUGGUGGAGGGUGAUGCCUGGGCCCUGUGGUUAGGGCUCCAGUCACACAGUGGCAUGUGUUGGAGGAACAUCUGUCACUGUAGCCCUUGAUAUGUUUUAUGUGCCAAUUCUUGUCUAAGAAGACACACAUGCUUGAUUUUUAUGUCGUGACAGAGAAAACAGAACACUGCAGACAUCCUUCAGAAUCUGACGGGAAGGAACAUCUCGGAUUACCUGGUGAAGACGUAUGUGCAGAUCAUAGCCAAAAGGUGAUUAUUUACGCAGUGUGGCCUGUGUUUUAUCAUCCCUGAUUAGAGGAGUUAAAGGCCUACAAAUAGUGGACCCACAUGGUGGGGAGAUUGCCAGAGUAUGGCUUGAUGUUUCUACUGGAAGUUUAGGAUGUCAUCCUAAACUAGAAAUGAUGCGUAGAGGUACUGUGAGCAUUCAGUUUUUAGCUUAAAGGUUGAGGCAGCAUUGUCUAGAAUGAAAGUAAGUAUGCAUUCAAAUUUGAAUUCUACCACUAACUAGUUGCUUGACCAGGAGCAUUAUCAGGCAGAACCUUAAUCUGAAAAAGGGAGUGGUGGUGGUUUACCUCCAGGUUAAGGGGACAACUCUGAGUGACAGUAAUCAAAAUUUUCUCUUUGUUAUCCUUUUAAAACUCUAAUUUGGGGGCUGGGAAUAUAGCUCCAUGGUAGAGUGCCUGCCUACUAUGCACGACACUCUGGGUUCGAUCUCCAGUAUUGUGGAAAAAAAGUCUUAAUUUAUAUAAAAGUGAUAUUACUGUUGCUCCUACAAGUUUGUUGUGAGAACUAAAUGAAGUGAAUUAUGUGAAGUGUCUUAGAUGCUCAUGUGAUAUCAUGGGGAGAACCUUGAGAAGAUACAGUAGCUCGUGGCUAUGGAACUUUGAAGCUUCUGGGACCUGGUGGCAUAGUGUCAAAUGUUUAGUUAAUGCUCAGAAAAUUUGUGUUCUGGUUCCCUUCCCAGCAGCUUGAUAAAGAGGGGUAUCUGUGUUAGAAGCUCAUUAUCUUUAAAUGAUAAAGCUGAUCAAAAAUGUAAUGACCUUGAGUCAUUAACAUAACUUCUCCAUAUGUCAUUUAUAACUGAUGUAUUAGUUGAAUUGAAAAAUCUUCUAGUUAAUUCAUGCCUUGGUUUGUAAGGUGGUUUUUAAAACUGGCUCAACCCAAGUAUGACCUUAAUGUAAGGUUUUUAAGAUAGAAUACAAGGUAUGUUGAGAUUAGGCUUCUUUCCACUGGUACAGUCCUGUAGUGCCAGCCUGAUGAUAGGAUUACUUCUGGUCCUUUCUUUUGUCUUCAGGUAGAUGUUUACUCCUUUUGCAUCAUCAGGUAUAGCAUCAGUCUUUCUAGAACUGAUUUUUGGUUUUUGUCUUUAUUUCUGCAGCUUAAAGAAUAAGAUCUGGGUGAAUGAGUUUAGGUAAGUUGAUCUCAAGAUUUUCCCUGGUGCUUCUAGUCUUGGGAGAAUGAUUUUUAUGCAGGCAUAUUGGAUGGAGGGAAGCUGUUGGUUUCGGGAUUGUUUGCCCCUCACACACUCCUGGGUGCCACAUCACUGUGAGGAGAGAAAGGCCCUGUAGAAUCUAUGGAGCAUGUGGGGUAUAGACAGGCUUAUAUUAGACUUGGAUUUUCUGCCCAGAGCAUUUCUACUCAGUGUCCAGCUGCCACUUCAGAGGCCUUUGAACAAUCCGGUUCACUGAUUUCCUUAAGGGCACUUAGAAAUCUCUUGUGAGUCUCCAGGGACUAGUAACAUUAUGAGGGAAAUACCUAUCCUAGUUGCAGUUUUACCCAAUCAGAUUCCCACGGGUUCCCAGGGACUCAAGAACAAUUUUUCAGGCCUUUGGCAUAAGAUAAAGAAGGUCUUGGAGAAAAUAAAAAACAUUUUCAUAUUUUAAUCCAUUUGUCCCUCUGGGUCUUGAAGAUGUGAGGGGGUAAGGAAGCAUCUUUGGAUCCAGUUUGUAUAAUCAUGGAAAUGAGAUGGCUGGUGUGACUUCCUCAGGAGACCUUAAAGGCUCCCUGUUACUGUUUCACACUUUUCUUCCUUGCCUUGUCCCCAAGGGCCAGGAUCUUUGAAAACUCUGGGCAGAGCAGAGUAGCCCUCAUGCUAGUAAAGAUACAAGGUCUCUUAUCCCCAUCUGGCCCACUUGCGACAGUGUCCCUCACCACCUACCCUUCUACCCCAUCUGCUUGCCUACAAAGACAGUAGUGAAUGUGAAAUAAAUGACCUUACUUUUCUCAGUGUCUCAGAUAUCUAACUAUAAUCAGACCCAGGACCUCCCUACUGGGCAGCAACCCAGUUAAUAGCUUGCUAGAAUCCAAGGUAUAACUUGUCUGAAUCAAACUUUGGUUGAAUAAGAAAUGGGUCUCUAAGAGGCUUGUCCACACUCAUGUGGUGUCUGCUGCUGGUGAUCACAUGUGGCAUACUGGGUUUUAAUGUCAGGCUGUUCUUCUAGGUAUGGUGGGUUUUCCCUCGGUGUCAGUAACUCUCAAGCACUUCCUCCAAGUCAAGAAGUUAAUGAUGCCAUCAAGCAAAUGAAGAAACACUUGAAGCUGGCCAAGGUAGUAUAUCCAUCUUGAGACAUGUUGGAAGAAAGGGCUUGGAGCUACUGGGACAUGAGCAUAGUGGGCAGAUAGAUCUGACCAGCUAGCAGCUCAUUGUUCAGAUUAUCUUUGACUACUGAGCCAUCAUUGGUAUUCUGUGACUUCAACAAGACGGGAUUGAAUUAUUCAGUGUAUACUUAAAAUCCUGAAAGUGUAGACCACAAAUAGAUUCAGAGAUUUAAAAGUUCUUAGAAUAACUGUUUGUCAGUUUGGCCAGUAGUAAAUAAACUGGCCUUCAAGCAGACUUCCAAAACAAUCACUAACUAAACAGAAAUGGAUGAGUUUCAUUUUUAAGUUGGCUGGCUGGUCUUCAGGUCCUAGUGAGCACACACUUCAUUUCUCUGUAUCUCAUAUUUCCCAUUUUGAACUGAGAAUUGAGGGAGUCAUAUGACAUGGAUUUUGUGAUCCUGGACAGCAGUGAUAGUCCUAGAGUCCAGUCUGUACUUCUGCCUUUGGAACACAGGCCCUAAUGUCUGACACAUCUGCACAUAAAUUGUGUUUGUGGUUCUUGGGAUGAUGCCAGGGGAACACUUGGAAGAAAUUCUCAUUGCCAGGUUAUACAGACAACAGUCUUGGGACUUCAAGCCACAGGAUUUCUCAGAUAUUUUUAAGACUGUGGCAUUAUGGAAACAUUCAUGCUGUAGGCUUCUGGUCAGUUGGUUCUCAGGAAUCAUUUAAUGGCUUUAAAUUUAAUUUUAGUGUGGUAGUGGUGGUGUUGCUCUUGAUAGGGGUGUCUUGUUGUCCACAGCUUCCGGACUGACUGUUGCCCUUUACCUGUUUGAAUCAUCACAAUUGAGGUGGGUUUCUGUUGUUUACAGGACAGUUCUGCAGAUCGAUUUCUCAACAACUUGGGAAGGUUCAUGACAGGACUGGACACCAAAAAUAAUGUCAAGGUAAAAUGCUGUCUGUGUUUUACUAACUUUUUGGUAACCUAUCCUGUUCCCUGAAGUAUUUUCAGCCAUAGUAAAAUUGGAGGGGUAUUCAUGACAGAAAAGAGCAAAUGGUUAAAUCCACUAGGGAGGCUGUAUAGUGGAGUGAUUAAGAGAAUUUGUUUUGUUGCCAGACUUUGACUUGAAUUACUUAACCUUCAGUUUUCUCAUCUGUAAAAUGGGGAUAAUAAUCAUGGCUCUCUCCAAAUAGUUAUGGUGAAUAUAUGAAUUAAAGAUACAAGGUCCUCAGUACAACCCUGGGCCCCAUAGUCGGUGGUUGUAUCCUUGUGUUAUCAUCACUCUGCCAUGUUCUGCAGUGUUUUGUAUUGGUAUAUGACUUGAGUUUCUAAAAUUUAGGUGCAUGAUUUGUGUGUGUGUGUAUGUGUGUGUGUGUGUAUGUACCUACUUCUGAGAGUAGUGUUUAGGAACAUUAUCUUUUACCUGCUAUGUUUUAUCUCAGGUGUGGUUCAAUAACAAAGGCUGGCAUGCUAUCAGCUCUUUCCUGAAUGUCAUCAACAAUGCCAUUCUCCGGGCCAACCUGCAGAAGGGAGAGAACCCUAGCCAGUAUGGGAUUACUGCUUUCAAUCACCCCCUGAAUCUCACCAAGCAGCAGCUUUCAGAAGUGGCUCUGUAAGUAUGGCUGUGUCUAAAAGAAUGGGGUGAGGAGAGAGUACUGGGGAAAUCUGGAGCAGGAGAGGGAAAUAGAAGGCUCCUUGUAGGGUAGCUGUUGCAGAGUCAAGUACAGUAUGUAAGUCUGGGUCCAUCCAGACUCUGGGCAGAAAAGAUCACUUUACAAAUUGACCAGCAGGGCCUUUUUGAAUUGUAGAAGAAAAUGGCACAGAUAUGCAAAAAUCAUUAUAUUUGGUGAUUCAUAUAAAGCAAGUUGAAAAUUGUUAAUACAAUCCUAAAAUAAGUAUAUUCACCAUUAACACAUAAAAGUCAGUUUCAUUUGUUUUAAAACUGUUUUAACCCAGUGAAAUAUGCUUUAAAUAGUUUGACUUGAAUUUGUCUUGAAUUUGUGUGUGUGUGUGUGUGUGUGUGUGUGAAGUUUAAAGCCAGUACAGUCUUUGGAAUUAUAGAGAUCUGGGUUUAAAUCUAGACUGUCAACUUUCUAGAUGUCUGAUAUUAAAUGAGGCCAUUUAUGUAAAUUGCCAAGCCAAGCUCCCAGCACAGAGUUGACAUUCAAUAUGUCAUAUCCCCUUUCUAUAAAUGGAGCAUGAUGCAGUUAGUUUCUACUUAAUUCCUAUAGAAUAUCAAUAAUGGACACUAGGGAUCUUUAUACCAACACCUUCUUAAUUGGCUUGUAAAGUGUCUUAUAAAAAGAAUCUGAUAGAAUUGUUAUAUGUGUUAGAUUGAUAUACUACAUUGUGUUGUUCUAAAACUUACUUAGAGCAAUAAAUAUUAACUUAUUUGAGUAGUUUCAUACCAUUAUUUUUUGUGUGUAUGGAUAUUUAUUAUUUAUUGCUCUUACAAUGUUAAGAACAAUGGACAAGGGGCUGGGGUUGUAGCUCAGUGGCAGAGCACUUGUCUAUCACAUGUGAGGCACUGUGUUUGAUCCUUAGCACCACAUUAAAAAAAUAAAGGUAUUGUGUCCAUCUACAAAUACAAUAUUUUUAAGAAAGAACAAUGGAUAAAAUUGAAUAUUGUUAGACCACACCCAGACUUCCUUUAACAGCUUCAUAUGGCAGUGGACUCUUUAACCUUAGUGAAAUCAGCUUUGCAUAUGAUUUUUAAAAAAUAAUACCAGGAAUUAAAUCCAGGGGAAGUUUACCACUUAGUUACACCCCUAGCCCUUUUUAUUUUGACACAGGGUCUUACUAAGUUGUUUAGGGCCUCACUAAAUUUCUGAGGCUGAUCUUGAACUUGCGAUCUCUUGCCUCAGCCUCUCUAGUUGCUGGGAUCAUAAGGGUACACCACUAUACCGGGCUCAGGUUUGCAUUUGAAUUGUCAUUUUUUUAAACUUGCAAAUGAUCAUAUUUAACCUUGAAUAAAACAUAUUUGGUGAACAGAUGUUUUUCCCUGAGCUUUCUUUGGAUGUGUGUGUUUAUGUCUCUCUCUCUGUGUAUGUCUCCUCAUUUGUUGUAUUUCCACAAUAAAUGCAUCAAAGACAUCUCUGAUUUUCACUGCCUUUUUUCUUUCUAGGAUGACCACGUCAGUAGAUGUACUUGUGUCCAUAUGUGUCAUCUUUGCGAUGUCCUUUGUCCCAGCCAGCUUUGUUGUGUUCCUGAUCCAGGAGCGGGUCAGCAAAGCCAAGCACCUACAGUUUAUCAGUGGAGUGAAGCCUGUCAUCUACUGGCUUUCCAAUUUUGUCUGGGAUAUGGUAAGGGCACAGGCCUACUAUCUUUGUAUGAAUCUCCAUCAGGGCCAUGAAAUGGCAUAUAUAAGACAGAGCACCUGUCACUGAGAAUUGUUCCAGUUAUUCUAAAGGUGCAUGAGAAAAGGAAUGGGAGAGACACUUAUACACUUAUACACUUCCAUAACUCCAAAUAUGGUGCUGGAUGCAGAGCUGACUUCACACAGGAAAGAAUAUCUGACUAUACUGAUGACAGUUAUUACCUAAUUUCCUAUUUGAAAACUUUCCCAAGAAACAGAAAUGGAAGGACCUUAGUCUCUCCCAAGCCAGUACUUUUAACUUCUCUGAUAAAUUUUGACCUAUAGAGUCAAGAUAUUCUUUAUCUUGUUAGGAAAGCCAUAUGUUCUUUAAAAACUCCAUACAUUUUACCAUAAAUUUAUUCAUUCAUUUGCAAAUGUAUUUUUGUACCAGCUAUAAUUAAUAUAUUGCUUCUAUUUGGACCAAUAUGGAAGCCUUCAAAGAAUUUUGAAGUUCUAAUUUAAUAAUAAAGUGAAGUUGACCUAUAUUUCCUUAUGAAUUCCAUGAAUUCUAAGCCAUAAGGAACAAAUCUAGUUCUUUCCUCUUUGGAUGGCUCCUCAGAUAUUUAAAGACAACUCUCAUCUAACCAAAGUCUUCCACAGAUGAGAUGAUAUAUGAGAACACACUUAGUCAUCUCUAAAGCACUGUAACAAUGUGAUAAUGAUGGAGAUGAUGAUGAUGUCUUUACUUAUUAUACCAAGACUCUAAGACUGGCCCCAUAUUCCAUAUUGUUAAUGUCCCUUUUGAAAAGCAAAGUCCAGAAUUAACCUUGUAUUCAGGCGAUGGUUUGAAUGGUUACAAGUCUAGAGGGAAUUGAUCUUUCUUCCAUACUUCUAUUCUGCAUUUUAGAAAGAGCACUGUCUUAUUGGCAACUUGAUAGUGAACUGGAAUCUUACUUCACAAAAAUGACUGUUAAAUUGGAAAGCUUUUGUGUUAUGCUAAUACAAUUAACUUUUUAGAACUUAAACUUUACACUUAUCCCUUUUAAACUGCAUCUAGUUAAGUGUCUAUUGUGUUUUGUUUUUGUUUUAUCUUGGUCCAGUAAUUACUUCAUUCAUUUAAAAUAUACUGAGUGCUUACUCUGUGUCUGACUAUGCCAGGCAUAGGAGAUUCAGAGAUGAGAUGGAGUCCCUACCUUCAGGGACAUCACUUAUAUUCUUGUAUAUUAUCUGCCUCUACCUGGUUUAGAAUCUGCAAUUUGCUAUCAGCAUAUCUUCAUCUAAGUUGUUGAUAAACACAUUGAAUAGGAUAGGACUAAUGCAGAGUCCGGUAGCCUUAAGCUGCAAUUCUUUUAACAGCUGACAAAAAUCACUGUCACCUCCCUGCCUGUGCUUUGCCCUGCCAGCUAUGAAAUCUCAUAAUCGUUCUAUGGUCAGGUCUUUAUUUCUGCAUUUUAAUGCCUGAAGCACUGUCAGAACAGACUUUCAAAUUAUUCUCAGUGUGAUGAAACAAUUCUGACAUUCAUGUUAUGAGCGCUUACCUUACAAAUAGAUUACAUGUGAGAUUGAACUUGGGCAGACUAUAAUAUAGCAUUAAUGAUGAAACAGACACAAUCAUCUCUGGGAAGAAUAAUGGAAGCUUAUUUGUCUCCUGUGAAAUUGAAAUUCCUCCGACUGAGGAUCCAUCGUUCAGUGAGUUUACUGAGCGUGACACCUUGGCUUAGUUGUGAGAAAGACAGAAAGGGCAUGCAGUUUAUAAAACCAACCAAGGGUAAAAUGCUUGUCACAAUGUAUUGUCCGUAUUUUGAUUAAUAGUUUAUGUGGCUUCAUUAAUUCAAUAUUAUUCUCCAAUAUGUUUGUCUGCCCUUUCUUGUCUGGUGAUGGUAAAGACUUGGAAUGUGCUGUAUUUUUGACUUACGAGUUAACUUUAUUUCCUUGUUUUCUCUUUUAGUGCAAUUAUGUGGUUCCUGCUACAUUGGUCAUUAUCAUCUUCAUCUGCUUUCAGCAGAAGUCCUAUGUGUCCUCCACCAACCUGCCUGUGCUAGCCCUUCUUCUUUUGCUAUAUGGGUAAGGCACUUUUGGGUAGAGGACUCUAAAAGUGGGUAAGGCAUAUAGUACCCAAUGUCAUAGGGAGGGUAGAGGACUCCAAUGGACAUUUAUCUUCUUGUCUCACCAGGUGGUCAAUCACACCUCUUAUGUACCCAGCCUCCUUUGUGUUCAAGAUCCCCAGCACAGCCUAUGUGGUGCUCACCAGUGUGAACCUCUUCAUCGGCAUCAAUGGCAGUGUGGCCACUUUUGUGCUAGAGCUCUUUACCAACAAUGUGAGUUCUGUAGAAAGAGCACCUCCUACUGGGAUGGGCACUUCUGGGUGCCAGAGGACAGUGGUUAAUUAGGAUCCUAUUCCACUUCUCUGUGACUUUGACUCUGCUGACUACUCCGUCCUCUUUCAGAUACAGCCUUCCGUGGUCUACACAAUACCUUUGUCUCCUGCUGUGCCUUAUAUUUCCCUGGCCAAACAUUUCAGUUUCUUCUGUCAAGUUCUUUUAUGCUUCCAUUUCAGUGUCACUUUGCCCAAGGCUCAGUCCUCUGUCAGCUUUGCUUUCCACUUGAGACACCAUAUCUGGGCAAUGCCAUUCAAUCCCAAGGCGUGCACCACUGCCUUUCUCAGUGUCUUAUUGUUCUCUCAGAUUUAUGCCUUGAUUGUUCCCUCGAACUCUACUCUCCCAUUUUCACAUACCUGGUGGAUGGCUUCAUUUAAAUAACUUAUAGAUACCCAGAACUGGAUAUGUCGUCAUCUUUCCCCUUAGAACCUAGUGUUUCUCUUGCCAUCCCUGUCAUACUUGCUGGCAUUACCAUCCAAUGCAGUUGCCUAACCCAGCUCUCUUGGAAUCAUCCUUGAUGCUUUGCUAUUGCUUAUUUCACAUGUUUGACUGGUCCCAUCAGUUCUUUCAGUUACACGUCGCAUAAACAAGACUCCUUCCAUUCCUGUUGUCACUGCCUUUGUCCAAAUACCUUAGCUCAGCACACAAGGGUUUCAUAGAUGAACAACCUUUCCUGGCCGCUUCCCACUACACCCUUUCUCAAAGCCCUGUAACUUUAGCAGAGUUGUCCCGUAAACUCAGUAUAAUCCUGUAGGCUUGGCUUGAAAUGCCCUUCUUGUAUUGCAGAGCCUGGUACUAUUCUCCCUGCCCUUCAAGAUUUAGCUCAAAGGUGAUGUUGUGCUACUCUGCCCUUUGGGAUGUGCUCUCUUUUUCCCUGGGCCCUCAGAGCCCUCCGUUCUGCCUCUAGUACCACACAUAUCCAGUUACAUAGUCAUUUCCUAUUUCCAUGUUUCUCUUCCUAACCACAGAGACUAUUUAUUCAUUAGCUUUUACCUCUCCCAUGCCCCAGCACAGUGCAUCUUACAAAUAGUAACUUCCUUAAUCCCUGGAUAUGUGGCCAAUGUUGGCUGGGUAUCAUAAUAAUUUUUGAUGUAUUUAAGAAGAUUUUUAUAAAAUUCUAGCAAAAUCCUAAAAUUCAAAUAUUGACCCAGACACAAGCAAUUUGCUUUUAAAAUAUUAAGCAAAUAUUUUGUUAUGGAUUUGCUUCUGGUCAAACAUAGCCUUGUUGCUAUUCUUUGUUCAUUUCUUUAUACCCACAGCAUUACUCCAAAGUUUUUUAAAAAUAUGGAAAAUGCCUACUCCUAUUUAUUGGUAUCCGAAUUCAAAGGUUCAUUUUAUUCUCAGGGAAUCAAAUUGUUUCUUUACUCCCAUAUUUCAGACUUGGAUACAUUUUUAGCCUAAACUAUGAUUGAUAUCCAUACUUUCUCUCUCUGUUAUCUUUUUAGAAGCUGAAUAACAUCAAUGAUAUCCUGAAGUCUGUGUUCUUGAUCUUCCCACAUUUUUGCUUGGGACGAGGGCUCAUUGAUAUGGUGAAAAACCAGGCAAUGGCUGAUGCCCUGGAAAGAUUUGGUGAGUGGAGCAGUGGCUGCUAGAGGUUUCAGAAGAGAUGGCAAUUGCAUGGGCCUUGGGCCCUAGCUUUUGUUUUGGAAAGGGACUGAUGAAUGGGCACUGGAUGUCCAUAUUCCUCUUGCCCCCCUGAAUGUUUAUGCCAGUACAGCUGUUCUGGUGUAGUGUGACAUAGCUAUUUAUCUGUGAAAGGGCAUUUUUGGGAGUAAGGAAAAUGCUGGCAUUUGCUUGUACCCAGUGCCUCAUGCUACUACUUGAGUUUAUUGGAAUUACUGAAAAAGUAACACAGCAUUGGGACUUAGAUACAGAACAAGAAUCAGAAGGAGAGAUGUACACUUUGACUCUAUUAGGAAAAUCACAGGCCUGGAGGUCAUAUAUUAUCUUUUACACAAUCUAUAAAAAGAUAAUUCACUGCAGCUCUUUCUACCUUUAGAGUGGUUAAAAAUAUUUCUCAUAUCAUCAUAUGACUGUCAUUCAUCUACUGGCUAAUGUAGUUAGAUGGGCCAUGUCAUUUGACGGACAUAGAAGAGGGACUUUCUUCAACUUGGAGGUACAAAGGAGAUGUAUAAGGAAUUUAAGGAAUAGUUAGAUAAAAUCAGGUGACUUAAUUGAGUCACUGGGUUACAUUAUGUGCCGUUGAAAUGGUCAUCUUUUUAAUGUGCUUUCUAGUAUUUCUUAUUACUAAAAACUUGGAAUUCAUUAAAAUACUGACCUUAAAAAUUAUCCUGGAUUGUUUGCCUUAUCUAAAAGGAUUUUUGGCCUAUCUCAUUCAAAAGAUAUUAGCUAUCUGACAUGAAGUUAUAGAUCUAAGACAUGUUGGCUCUAAAAUUCUGAUUGAUACAGGGUAGUAGUAUGUUCCCACAAGUCAGAUUUGAAAAGUAGUCACUCUCAUUAUUUUUUCUCCUUUUCUUUGGUAAUAGCCAUUGGUGUUUCUAGGAAAAUAGGUGAACUGGACCCCAUGUUUGAAGAAGGACAUGGUUCUUGACACCUUCAUUCUGACUUGAUUUCUGAAUUUUGUUUACUAGGGGAGAAUCGCUUUGUGUCACCACUCUCUUGGGACUUGGUAGGACGAAACCUUUUUGCCAUGGCUGUGGAAGGGGUGGUAUUUUUCCUCAUUACAGUUCUGAUCCAGUACAGAUUCUUCAUCAGGCCCAGGUAAGCUUUUGCUCAGAACUCAUGGAGCACUUGGUAGAGGGUCACAGAGGGGACACAGGGAAACACUUGCCAAGGAUGGUUGGAUCGAAUUUGAACUCAAGAAAAUCAAAUUGAUUUUCCUAUUAUGGGCAUCCUGCAACGCCUACCCUGCCAAGGCUGGAAGUUGUGGCAAGCAGGUUUUAGGAGAUUGCUUUAGAGACUGGAUUUUGUUUUUAAAAAGAGUUUGAAAGGUUGUUUUUCUUAAAAUUUUUCUUCUAAGACCAGUGAAAGCAAAGCUUCCUCCUUUGAAUGAUGAGGAUGAAGAUGUAAGGCGGGAAAGACAGAGAAUUCUGGAUGGUGGAGGACAGAAUGAUAUCUUGGAAAUCAAGGAGUUGACUAAGGUGAGAUAGUGAGUAGGGGCUAUUACAGGCUUAAUUUUUCAGUUGUAUGUGCUGGAAACUACCCUAGUUGCUUAAUGAAAAAGCUUGCUUCCCCAAAUGUGCAUCUAUACUAAGCUACUGUCAAUUUAAUUUUAUUUUAAAGAUACAUGGAAACUUCUUAAUUAGAGAGUCUACUGAGAAUACUUUUGUAAUGUGAAUUUCCAUUCUCAAAUUUAUUUCUUUUACUUAUAUUUAUUUGUGUGUUAGUUAUUAAAACAUUAUAUUGUUAUGUUGUAUGCAUGUACAGAUAUGUAACAACAAAUCCCAUCAAUAUGUACAACUAUAAUGCACCAAUAAAAAAUGAAGAAAAAACAUACUAAUAUUAUAUAUCUAGUCAAAACUGAGGUAUGGAGAAUAAAUUGUUGAUUUUAAAUUUUAUAAUCACCAAAGCUGACAUGUCUCUAAUGCCCGCUUAGAUGGCAGAAUCCCAAAUUUCACUUUUUGUAACACAUAGAAUAUUUGAAAUACUUUGAUUGCAAAAUUUUAUCCUGUAGAAUCUAAUUUUAGGCUGGGGUUGUGACUCAGUGGAAGAGUGCUUGCCUAGCACAUGUGAGGAACUGGGUUUAAUCCCUGGCAUCACGUAAAAAUGAACAAAUGAAGUAAAGGUAUUAUGUCCCCCUACAACUAAAAAAAAUUUUAAAAAAAUUAAAAAUGAACUAUAAAUAAUACAUGGAAAAAAUAUGUAGAUAUUAGUGUCUGAUAUAUUUUUUAAAAGACCCAAAUUAAAAAUUAAAAAGAAAUUCACUUUUAUUUUGAGCUUCAAAGUUACACCUGGUUGGCAGAGAGAGAAAUGGCUCUUAGCACAUCAUAUAUGACUUAGUCUUAUUGACAGAGUCUUAUUUCAUGGCGUGUUUGGGUUAUAAUCCUCUCUGCCACAGUUGCUUGGAAGAGCUGUGAGUCACUGAAGCUCAUGAAUUUGCAUUUUGUCUGUUGCAGAUAUAUAGGAGGAAGAGGAAGCCUGCUGUUGACAGGAUUUGUGUUGGCAUUCCUCCUGGUGAGGUAAACACACUUUGUCUGCAUUGUGUUUGUUAAUUCACACUGUAUCUAUCCAAUCAAAUAACCAUGUUUAUAAAGGAUGAAAAUGGCUUUCAAAGUUUCUCUCCUUAUGCCUGUGUGAAGCAAUCAGUCAUCAAGAGAUUGGGGACCCCUUAUAUCAAGAGAAUGAUUUUGGAUAAUCUCGGGCAUUUUAAGAAAAGCAUGUACACCCAAAAUGUGCUUUUGUGAUCUAUUUCAGAGGAUGAGGGAAUUCAAAUAGAUUUUUCUCCUUCUCAUUUCUGAUGUGUCCUUUUAUGCCCUUUAGUCAAAUAAGGUGGUAUAAUUUGACUAACUGGCUUUCAUUACUGUUUUUCACACAUCCAUUAACUUGGUCUUAAUCUGACAACUCAAAUGGUACUUAAAAAUACAGACUUGCUGAAAAUGAUCCCAUUAUAAAAUACAUAUUUAAUAUCUGUAUGAUGUCCUAAACCAAAAAGAUAUUUGUCAUUGAUAUUUAAGAAUGAUGUUUCAGGAUGAUGUCAUAUAAAAAUGAAGCUCAGUUGGCUAUUUUCUAGGGUUGUUCAAAUUUAGUUUUAGUAGUUUGAUUAUACAACUCACCUGGUCUUAUUCUUUCAGUGCUUUGGACUUCUGGGAGUUAAUGGUGCUGGGAAAUCAUCCACUUUCAAGAUGCUAACUGGAGACACCACUGUUACCAGAGGGGAUGCUUUCCUUAACAAAAAUAGGUGAGAAAAGAAGUGAUCUGUAUUUUGUUACAAGGACUUUUUUUAGUUUUAAAGAAACACAUUGUUAUUUUUUGAUUAUAAUAGUACACUUUAGAUUUCAUAAAAAUGAAACUGUUAAAUAUAGUAAAGUUUAAAGAAGAACAAAAAAAAUCAUCCAUAAUUUCACUACCUGGAGAUAACCACUCUACAUUUUCUUUCAGUCUUACUGCAUCACUUUUAUCAGCUUUUUCAUACGUGUAAAUUACUUGUUUUUAUUUUUUAUUUUUUUAAAUAAUUACUUUUUAGUUUUAGGUGGACACAUAUCUUUAUUUUACAUUUAUGUGGUGCUGAGGAUCGAACCCAGUGCCUCGUGCGUGCUAGGCGAGCACUCUACCACUGAUCCACGACCCCAGCCCAAUUACUUGUUUUUAAAGAACAAUUCAGUAAUUCUUAGUGAAUUCACAGAAUUGUGCCAUCAUCACUACAAUCCAGUUUUAGAUGUUUUCUAUCACCCCAAAUCUGUCUUUCUACACAUAUAAAUGUAUCAUAAAAUUGAGAUUAUUCUGCAUAUAGGUUUAAAAUUAGUUUUUAUUGUUAAUGGUUAUAUUAUGAAUAUUUUCCAGUGGGUUAAAAAUACAUUGCUCCAUAAAAUUCCUCUGUGUACAUGUACCUAUAAUUUGUUUAAUCAAUUCCUUAUAAAUGUUGGGCAUUUAUUAAUUUUUAUUUUUUACUAUAUAAAUAUGUGCUUGUAUACAACUUUUAUUGUUUCUUUGUAUUAGUUUCUACAAGGUAUUACCUGCUAGCUCAUCUUCUAGAAAGAGUGGACCCACUGAUGAAGCCAUCACUAGGCUGUUUUCUGAGACUGUACAGUUACAAAGCAGUCUGAUCUUUGGGAGUACAGCAACACAUUAGAGGCCUGUUAGGCAGUAUUAACAUUGAAUGCUCUAAAUAUGUGGGGUUUCUUCAGGCUUUCUAUAUGGAUACAUGGUACAAAGGCAGUGACCUUUAAACUCUUCUGAACCAUGAUCCAUGUAGGAUAUAAUAUUUUAUACUUCAGCCUGAUACACACAAGAUACAUUAACACACAUAUGAUUUAAUGAAAUUUUUCAUAAAUAGUACCUGCUGUUACUACUUAAAAUACACUCUAAUAACUCUUAUUUUAUUCUCUAUCAUGUCAUUUAAUUUUGUUGUUGUUGUUGUUACUGGGGAUUGAACUUAGGGGCACUCAACCAUUGAGCCACGUCCCCAGCCUAAUUUUAUAUUUUGACUAGAGACAGGGUCUCACUGAGUUGCCUAGUGACUUGCUGUUACUGAGGCUGUCUUUGAACUCAAGAUCCUCCUGCUUCAGUCUCCAAAGCCUGUGGGGUUACAGGUGUGCGCCACUGCGCCCGGCAUAUCAUAUCAUUUAAAAAGUGCUGGUUGUGGAUUUAUUUUAUAAAUCACUAAUGGGAGAUGACUCUAAAUUUGAAAACACUGAACAGGGGAAUAGCCAAUAAUAUUGAAGAGUGAGGAAACUGAUGUACUCGUUGAUCUUUUUUCCCCCUUAUCAAUCAUUUCAGUAGCAACUUAAGAACCUUAAAAGAACAGAACUUUUGGGAAUACCACUGUUCCCUAGGCUUAUUUCUAAUGCUCCUGGGGCACUUAGCAAUGGCAGCAGUAACUGGCUCAACCUAAGGUUUAUCAUAGUAAUGGGUUAUAAGAACUGACUCAGUCAUAAUUCUGGAGAAAGCUGACACUGGGAGUUCUAAAUAGAUAAGCAGAGAUGAAUGACCACUGCCAAAAGGCCAAGUUCAAGUAGGUCACAACCAGUACUUUUCAAAUGACAUGUUAGAGAAUAGAAUAAGAAUUAUCAGAAUGUACUAUUAGUAGUAACAACAGGUACCAUUUUAUGAAACAUUUCAUUAAAUCAUAUGUGUGAGUGUUAAUGUAUCUUAUUGAGGGUGUGAAGUGCAGGCAUGAAAAUGGGAUAUAGACACUGAAAUUUUCAUACAUUAGGGAUUCUUAACCUUAUUGGCAUCAAAGAACCUAAAAAUUGCCCCCACCUGUAAGAUUGUAGGUGUAUUUUUCUGUUUCCACAUGUUCAGAGGGUCUACGAUAAAGGAACAAGCAAAAAACCCUUAAAAGCUAGGAGGGUUUCUGGGCUAGGUAUUUGGUAGGACCAGAAUAUGUGGAAUAUGCACACUGUGGUUGAGUCAAUGUAUGGCUCAGCAGAAGGCAGAAGGGAGCUCACACCCAGGAUUUCUGGGUCCAGAUGGUCAUGAAGACAACUUUGGGCUGACAAUGCACUUGGUACAUAUGACCACAGGAGCAAGUCUGGGAUGAAGAUGUUAAAGCUCCAGAUAGUGUUAUUUAGGUUGUUGGUAAAGACUGCUGCAGUGGGCAUGGACUCAGGGAUUUUGAAACAGGACCAAGCAUGCAUGUUUGAAAUGCUGGGAGAUACAGAUGCAAAGAUAAGGCAGGGUAGAGACAGAAACCCUGACAGAUGGGAACAGCUAUCAUCCGAGGGGCAGAAAGGCUGUUCCUUUAAGCAGCAGAUAUUGGUAUCUUUGUAAAGCACAAGCAUACUCUAUAGGAAUGUUAACCCAGAUUGUCUGAUUAGAAUAUGUCUAAAUGCUUAAAACCUAACAAGUUUUAUUUUCAUUUGCAGUAUCUUGUCAAAUAUCCAUGAAGUACAUCAGAACAUGGGAUAUUGCCCUCAGUUUGAUGCUAUCACAGAGCUGCUGACUGGAAGAGAGCAUGUAGAGUUCUUUGCCCUCUUGAGAGGAGUCCCAGAGAAAGAAGUUGGCAAGGUACCAUGGAUACUAGAAAGCCAACCUGCCUCUUUGGCAUCCUGACACCAUACCUUAUGGAUUUUCCACAUAUGACUACUUCAGGCUGUUUUCCUCAUGCAUGGGUGGGAACCCAUAAUGGUGGGGGAGUAGGGGUGGGUAGGCAUGCAUUGGUUGGGGGUGUGCAGAGAGGGAGUACUGCUCCCAUCACAUAAAUUUCCUCUCCUUUUUUCUGGUACCUCUGUAGUUGCAGGUCAUGAUUAUAGAAUCCAGUCUUAAUCAAAGAACUUUCACAUAUAAGUGUAACAAAGCAUGCUAAAAUUACCAAGGCAGACAAAAGUCAAGGUGCUUUAUCUCUCCAGGUUGGUGAAUGGGCAAUUCGGAAACUGGGCCUUGUGAAGUAUGGAGAAAAAUAUGCUGGUAACUAUAGUGGAGGCAACAAGCGCAAGCUUUCAACAGCCAUGGCUUUGAUUGGUGGGCCACCUGUGGUAUUUCUGGUAAGUGUGACUUUGGGUGGAAAACUACUGGUCUGGCCUGAAUGGAAAAUAGGCCAUUGACUGUGUGGCAGAGCAACCUUCAAGAAGAGGGGAGUUUCUUUCUUGGCACAAAUAGGGGUGACUCUGUCAAAUAGACACCCCACGUACCUGGCUUGGAGAAUCCCUAUAAGUCUGUGAGGCUGAAUGUGUGAUUUGGUCCUUCUCUGGAACAUUCUUUCUGAUCAUCUAUGUGUUCAUAACCUGAAUAUGGAGAGUGAGGACACAGCUUCAGAUCCCCUUUGUAGCUGGGUGUGGUUGUGUACAUCUGUAAGUCCAGUUACAUGGAAGACUGAGGCAGGAAAAUCACAAGCUGGAGGUCAGCCUGGGCAACUUAAUGAUACCCUGUCUCAAAGUAUUAAAAAAGGGCUGACAGUGUAUCUCAGGGGUAGAACAUUCCUGGGUUUCAUCCCCAGUAUUAAUAACAACAAAUAAAGAUCUCUUCACUGGAUCAUAGUUCCUUAAGAGAGAUAAAUGAAAAAUACAUUAGACAGCAGUGGCCUUUGAUCUCCUUUCUUUGCUAGAGAAGAACACUGAAGUUAUUAUAGGAAGAAACCUUGGGUUAAGGUUAUAGAAUAAUCUAGAUCAUAUGAAUGGUCUAGACUAUAACCAGAUAAGCUGAAGUAGACUAGAAUAAAAAAAGAAGAAAAGGAAUUUUACUCAAACCUUAUCCUGACAAAGAGAAUUUUUAGUAUAUACUUGUUAGUAAUGAAAAGAUGAUUGAAACUAAUGGCUCUUUUCCUUCCCUAUUUAUUUGAAGAAAUUUGUUUAAUUUUUAAAAAAUUUCCUUAGAAUAUUUGAGUUUCUUGCUUCAAUGAGACAUUCAUAAAAGUGAACUUGUUCUAAGUGAGUUUGAAAUUUAUUCUGUUAUUUUGGUUCAAAAUAACUAAAAUAGUAAGUUAAAACUUAUGAUGUUUAAGAAUGCUUCAGCUUUUAAAAACAAGUCUAUCUUUGGUGUUUUAUUUAUAGCAAAUGAUAAAACUUAUUUUACUUUAAUUUCAGGAUGAACCAACCACAGGCAUGGAUCCCAAAGCCCGAAGAUUCUUGUGGAAUUGUGCCCUAAGCAUCGUCAAGGAGGGGAGAUCAGUAGUGCUUACAUCUCAUAGGUCUGUAGUGAAGUCUUGGCUUGGCUUUUACAUUGUGUUAUUUGUAAAUCUGCUAAAUAGUAUACAUGUUCAUUUAGUAAAAGCUAGAAAGUACAGCAAGGCCAAGGUUACAUUUAUCACCUGAAAUUGUAUUACUUGAAAACAUCUAUUGUUCUCAUUGGCUUAUGCAUGUUUGCAGGGAUUUCCUAUGCAAACCUAUGUGUACUUGUGUGUAUGUAUUUUUACAAACAAAAAUGCAAGCAUAGUGUAUAUAUAUACUCUGAUCUUUUUCACUUAAUAUUAUUGUGAACAUUAUUCUAAGUCAGUAAAUUUAAGUAUGUCAUCAUCUCUUAUAGCUGAAUGGUAUUCCAUUAGUAUAUAUCCUAAUUUAUUUAAUUCUUUCCAUUUGUUAGACAUUUGAAUUGUUUCCAACUUAUUCACAAUUCUAAAUGGCACUGCAGAGAGGAGCUUCAUCUGUAUAUCGACAUGUCUUUAGAAUAGGAUGUGAUUAUGCACUGGAAGCUGGGAAACUUUUUUCUUUGAAAUGCCAGAUGUCAUGGUGAUGUUGUGAUGUUUAUGGGAGCAUGUCUCUGAAACUAAAACUUUGUUCUGUUUUCCCACAGUAUGGAGGAAUGUGAAGCUCUUUGUACUAGGAUGGCAAUUAUGGUCAAUGGGAGGUUCAGGUGCCUUGGCAGUGUACAACAUCUGAAAAAUAGGUAAAAGAGACUAUUUCUUUAGGAUAGCACCUAUUUAGAAACCUUGAUGAUUAUUCUUUCAUUGGUGUAUAAAUGGUAGCUUAAAAAUAAAGAGAAAUUAAACUGGGAAAAAUAGUAUGGUGCAAAGAAUCAGGGCUUUGAAGUCAAACUGAACCAUAGUCAAAUUCUGUCUUUAUUAUAUACUGGUUGUUUGACUCAUAAGCAAGUUACUUAGCCUUUCUGAGAGUCUAUUUCCCAAGAAUAAUACUUCCUGGCUUUGCUUUAUUUAUGAAAUUAAAAAACUCACAUGACAGUGUGAUUAACAGCACAAGUUUUGGCGUCUAUGCAAAUGGGUUUGCUUCCCCUCUACCACUUAGGAACUUUGUAUCAUGGGCAAGUGACUAACUCCCUGGGCUUAAGUAACAUCUGUCAGACUUCAUGGAUCCAGGUGAGGAUUAAAGACACUGAGAAACAGGGCACUCAGCAUCAGGGCACUGAGCAUCUGGCACUGCUCAUAGAUUCUCAAUAAAUGAUAACUGGUUCCUUCUCUCUGAAACUGAUCUCUGGGUUUUUCAGGGACCUCCCAUUUUCAUGGCACAAGUUGGUUUCUCAGAGGUAAAUAUUCUUCUGAGAAGUUUCCUGGGGAUACUUCAUUUGGGUGUUUUUUUUUUUUUUUUCCUGCUUUCAGGUUUGGAGAUGGUUAUACAAUAGUUGUACGAAUAGCAGGAUCCAAUCCUGACCUGAAGCCUGUCCAGGAAUUCUUUGGACUUGCCUUCCCAGGAAGCGUCCUAAAAGAGAAACACCGGAACAUGCUACAGUACCAGCUUCCCUCUUCAUUAUCUUCUCUGGCCAGGAUAUUCAGUAUCCUCUCCCAGAGCAAAAAGCGACUCCACAUAGAAGACUACUCUGUUUCUCAGACAACACUUGACCAAGUAAGCUUUUAGUGUCAAAAAUAGAUUUUCUUCCCAGGUUGAUGAUUCCUGCCUACUCACACCUUCACCACAAGCCUGAGCACAGUUCAGACUAUCUGUGCUUGAAUUCCUCAUCUAUGAUUACUAGCAAUGCAUUUUACUAAACCUCUGUGAACCAAAAAGGAAGAUAAUGCUUUCUACCUGACAGAAUUAUUAUGAGAAUUUACUGAAUUAAUACUCCAAACAACUAUAAUUUAUUGAGUACCUAUCAUAGAUAGGGCAUUUUGCUAUGUGCCUUGUCCCAUUUAGAUAACAAAAACUACUAAACAGAUCCUGGCAUUUGAUAGGUUUUCAGUAAAUGUUCUCUUCACUCUUCCCUUUAAUCAAUGGAAGUUGGUGAUGUGGGAUUAACACAGAAUAUGAAUUUUUAAAUGAUUAUUAAUGUUUUUCAAGUAUCUUAUCUUCCCUCACACAGUUUUCUAGUUAAUCUACUUAUGCAAUUCUGUAUUCUCCUGCCUGACCUAAUUUCAACAUGAGGACAAUGCAAUUAGAAUAAAACUGCAGCUAGAAUAAAGAAAGAACAAGUCAAGAGGUACUUAUAAAGCCCUUCUUUGUUUUGACAGGUAUUUGUGAACUUUGCCAAGGACCAAAGUGAUGAUGACCACUUAAAGGACUUGUCAUUACACAAAAACCAGACAGUAGUGGAUGUUUCAGUUCUCACAUCUUUUCUACAGGACGAGAAAGUGAAAGAAAGUUAUGUAUGAAGAAUGUCGUUCAUACUGGAUGGCUGAACAUAAGGAAGAACGAGAUCUUCCUUUACACUGUGUGAAGUGUUCCAGAGGAACAGGCUGGAAGUUUUUGUGGGAAGAAGUAAACUGGAUACUGUACUGAUACUAUUCAAUGCAAUGCAAUUCAAUGCAAUGAAAACAAAAUUCCAUUACAGGGGCAGUGCCUUUGUAGCCUAUGUCUUGUAUGGCUCUAUGUGAAAAAGACUUGAAUUUAGUUUAUUACCUUUACCUAUGUGAAACUCUAGUAUGGAACCCAGUGGACAUUUGGGUUUGAAGUCAUACUUUUUUGUUCCUGUGUAUCCUCACUGGGAUUGCAGCAACAAUUCAUCAAAUAACCAUGGCCAGUGAUUAUCAAAAUCAAAGGCGUACAUCCUCAUCCAUUAAGCCAUCCCAUUCCAGGAGACCGGUUUCCUGGUGACACAACCAUUGCUGGCAAUGAGUGUGCCAGAAUUACUAGUGCCAAGUUGCUCAGAAAGUCUGAAACACCAUAGUGUGUAACAUACACCUUUGUAAAGCUGCUCUUCUCAGAGUCUAUCAACAUCAUUAAAUAUCAGGUGACAAAAUGGUGCCAUGUACGGCUAACGUCCUUCUUUGAGUCCCUUUUUGAUGAGCUGCUUUGGUGGCUGUAAUAUGUAAAGUAUGGAUAUCUCUACACACAGGAAACUUGGUUCCAUUGUUAUGUUGCCCCAUUCUUGGGAGCCAUGGGUUUCUAGGGUCUUUCUGGGACUGUUUAAAUCUACUUAGAUCCUGGUAAGAAGCAAAGGCUCAGCAGCCAAACUGUUGGAACUGUAAGUUGCUGAAGUCAAGGCAUGGGAUUAAAGAGAUGGUGUAUUCAAACCUAGUGCCCAUUUGUCCUGAUUGCUAACACGGUACACUGCAUCUCAAAAAUUUUGUUAUUUGACACAGGUGUAGUAUUAUUUCUGGCUUUUCGAAUUAAUCUAGAAAUGAAAAGAUUGAGUUAUAUUUUGACAAAAAUCUUUGUACUAUUAUGUCAUUUGGAAUUUUCAGUUAUAUCAGUGAUUUCUGAAACCUUAGAAUGACCUCUUUUAGGACCUGUGGUAUAGAGGAGUAUGGUCACACUGCCUCACUAGCUUUAUUUUUCCUAUACAAAUUUGCAGAUAGAAUGUCUGACUAGUGCCUAGUGACUAGAAAACAACAUGGUGGUCAAGAUCUCAUGAUAUUGUUGUUGAAUUUAAAAUCACGUAGAAUACUCUUAAAUCAGUUCAUCAAUCAAGUAUUUUUUGAGUAUAUGCUAUAGCUGAAUGUGUACGUAUAGAUGGAUGGAUAGAGAGGAGAAAUUAAGAAGAGAAAUUAAGUCUCAGUAGAUUUCCCAUGCCAUGUUAUUCAGCUAACUGGUUUACAAAAGAUAGGUUGUUUUAUUGUGAUUAUGGAAGCCCACUUAAAGAAUAUUGGCUAGACUUUUUUUUUCUUUUAAUAGCAACAGUGCAAAAGCCAGAAAAGGUCGCAAGGCUGAACAAUGGAUUCUUUCAAAGAGAAAUCAGCUAGCUUGGGAACUUGUUGAAUACAACUUGUACUUAUGACAUUUAGUACCUCCACAUAAUUGGUUCUGCAGAAAUGUUAGACACCCCAUUAAAUCUCUGACAAUCUCAAAUUUUGCAUCUCUUUAAUCAUUAAACUAUCCUGAAAAAAAUAAAAACAGCAAAUGCUUCCACAAAGAAUAGUUUUCAGACUUAAUCUUAUUUUAAUUUUUAAAUUAAAAAUAUUAUUUCACUAAUGCUCAGUGUCAUCUUUCUUGAGACAAAACAAAAAUAUGAGGGAAUUGCUAUUUGGCAAAGUUCAAGUGAACUUUCAAUAUCAUCAUUAAUUUAUUUUAACUAUUUCUAAAAUUUAAAUAUUAACUCUAAAGGUAUACAAUUUCAGAUAUAUUUCAAAUGUGUAUGUAUAUAUAUGUGAAUAUAUAUACAUAUAUAUUUAGAUUCAUAGACUGUUAAGUAACUCCUUGCUUUAAAAGAAAAAUGAUUUUCAAAAAAUUAAUGUCAUUAUUUUCUAAAAUGAUAAAGCAUAUUUUCAAUAACUGUUAGCAUGAGAUUACUACAUUCAUGACAUUUUCAAAGAUAUAAGAAUAAUUUAGUUUUUAAGAAUAAUUUAGUUUUUAAGAAUAAUUUAGUUUCUCAUUAAUUUUAAAAAUAAAAUAAAAAUCUGGUGGUUUUCUCAUUUCACCAUGAAUCACUCUCAUUCAUGAUAUUAAAUCCAUGAGUGACUCUUUGCUUCUAAUUACUCUGACUUCAAGGUCACAUUUUAAAACUUCAAAGGCACUGUGAACUAUUUUGAGAAAAAAAAAUUAAAUGUAGAUUUAAAAGAGUCUUUCUGAAGCUAGAAAUAAUAUACAGUUCUACAUUAACUUCAUUGUUAUUGUGUUACCUUUUAGACUAUCCAAAUAGUAAUCUUAAAGUUCCCUGUGUAAACUUAAUUAUGGUAGAAAUUUUUACCAACUCUAUCCUUAGAUAAAAUUUCUGUAUAUUAACUGUGGAAAUGUAACUAUGUGAGUUUCAUAAAUUCUCAAAAAGUGUUCAAAGAUUUCUGCUCUUGCAUCUUUUGGAUACCUUGGAAAACUUACUAACUGUGAAUAUAAAAAAUACAAAAGAAAAUAACAAGUCCUCUCUAUAUAAAUACCCAGCACUAUUCAUUGUUAUAAAACAAACAACCAAACCUCAACUACUGUAUUUUGAUAUCUGUACUGAAAGCAUUUCUUUGUGACUAUUAAAUGUUGCACAUCAUUCAUUCACUGUAUAGUAAUCAUUGACUAAAGGGAUUUGUCUAUGUUUUCUUCUCAUGGUUGUAUAUAUCAGGUAAAAUUUUUUCCAAAGAGCCAUGUGUUAUGUAAUAAUGAACCACUUUGAUACUGAGAUAUUAAUUUGUAUUUACUAGUAAUAAUGUAAUACCAUAGUUAAUACUGCUCUAAUUCUUUUCAAAAUUGUUGCAUCCCUUUUUAUAGAAUGUUUAUAUUUCCAUAAGGAUUAGGUAUGCUAUUAUUCCUUCUUAUACCCUUGGGUAAAGCUGUUUUUGUGCUUUUUCUUUAUCAUUGGCCCUUCAUUCCAAGCACUUUAUGCUAUCUGUAAUGGAUCUAUUUUUGCACUGGAAUAUCUGAGAAUUGCAAAACUAGACAAAAGUUUCACAAUAGAUUUCUAAGUUAAAUCAUUUUCAUUAAAAGGAAAAAAAAAACAAAAAAAUUUGUAUUGUCAAUAACUUUAUAUGAUGUAUUAAAAAGGCUUAUUUCUAUGUUGUAUUGAGUCACGAAAUAAACCUGUGACAGUUCUGUUGUCUAUGCAAAUUUACUUUUGUGGAUUCACAGCACCACCUGCUGUUGAAGUGUUAAUAAAGCCUUGCAAAAGUAAGAAGAAAUGUCCCACAUAGAUCUGGGGAUGCUAUUUGGAUCAAAAGUAAAAAUUUUAGAAAAGGUUCAAAUAUCUUAUUAAUCAAAACAGAACUCGGGACCACUUGAAUAGAAAGUGGUGUUAUGCUCUUUCAUGAUUCAGUUGAGAUAAGAAUAACUGAUAUUAAGAAAGUUUAAGAGGUUUGUAGAUGAACUUAUUCUGUGCAAUGACUGUUAACCCAUUAAGUCUCAAGCUUUCAAUUCUGAUAACUUAAUACUCAAAUAUUAUUUCAAGGUUAUCAAAGAGGCAUAUUUGUUGCUUAAUUUAAGUUUUUAUAGGUGUUCCACAUCUGGGAUGAUGGAAUAAAAUGAGCUAAGCUGCAGAGAUGUCUGAAAAUACUCUGUAGCUAAGCUUCUUUAAUAAAAAUUUCACUUUGGUUUUGAGGCAGUUACAAAGGCAGCCUUUGUUGUGCUUCUGUUUAACAAAAAAUACAAGAACAUAGUAUGGCAUGUCUACUGGCAAGGUGCAGUGAUGAAAAAGGUGAGCACACAGCAAGAGUGGCAAUGUGGGAAGAGAAAUACCAACAUCAAGAUGCCUUCACCUGAAAUAAGUGCUGUGCAGUCUAUGCACAAGUGGGUGUUAUGAUGAGACAAUGCGGAUGUACUUUUGAUAGCUCAUUAAGAACCAGUCUCAUAAACCGAUGUAUGCUUAUGUUGAUACUUGAAGAACUUCUGUCAAACAGUCCUUUUUCUGGCAGCACAUGAGUCCUGGUUCCACUGUGAUCUCUUUGGAAUAGCUGCAAUGACACAUGGUUAAGUGGUCCUUCUGCUGAGGCACAGAUCUGAACUUUGUGUACAGAAGUUUCUUGGCUAUUGAGUAGCUUAGAUGCCUCCUCUGUAUCUGCAUCACAACUUCACCCUCCCCUGCAAUGUUCCCAUCAAGUGACUUUAACAGAAUGAUAGAAAACACUGUUUGCAAAAAAUCCCAAUAGAGAGGGAAACAAACAAAAAACUAUAGAAAAACAAAACAGCAGUUAAUGUAGAUGAAAAUAAAGGUUACCUAUCAGUACUGUCCAAAACCUAGACAAAAGCCUAUAUGGACUUUUUCUAGAUUCUAAGAAUUCUAGACCCUUUGGAAUGCAUAUAUUAAGAAUGGAAAAGUCUAAGAAAACCAGCAACUUCUUUCAAGUUUUUACUGUGUUGUCAGACACUUUCUUUGAUCUUCAACUGAUCCUGUUCUGUGAGUUAAGUAGUAUCAUUUUACAUGUGAAUAAUUUGUAACUCAGAGAAUAAGGAAUUUGUACAAAGUUAUAGGGCGAAAUGAUAUAGGUUCUUUUUGUUUAAGUUAGAUACCAGAUUUGUCCUUGUAAAAUCUGCUUUCACCAUCAUUGUUCAUAAUUUAAAUAAUAUCUAGUUUUAUGUGUCAAUCACUCUUCUAGAUUCUGGGGCUACAACGUUGAAAACAGAAUUCUGGCUUUACUAAAGUAAUAUAUUGGUGGAGAAGCACAAUGUAUGUGUAGACAAACAAAUCUGAUGCAAUAAGUGCUACAAAAAAAAAAUGUGGUGAUGGGUUAAUGAUGGUAAGGAGUCAGAAACAGCCUGAGGAGUGGCCUUUAAGUUUAGAUCCAAGUUUAAUAAGCAGGAGCAACAUUUGAAGGUGGGUGACAAGAAUACUCCUGGAAGAAAGAACACCUAAUACAAAACUCUAAGGGGAAAAAAGCUUUGCAAGUUGAGGGAGAUUAAAAGAGAGAGAAUAUUCCAAUGUUCCUGGUGCAGAGUUAGCAAGGAGAGAAGUCAUAGGAGAUGGAAUCCUAGAGAGGGCAGGAACCAAGUCUCAUAGGAUUUUGCCACCAAGGUAUUUGGAUUUCACUAUGGGGCUCAUGAGACAAUGACAGAAGAUAAAAAUGUGCAAAUCAACCAUAUGUACAUAUGAGUUUUAAGUCAUGAGACUGAAUGAACUUAGGUAAAGUGAGCAAAAAAUAGGGAAUGUUCUUGAGCCUGAGAUUUAUAAGAAAAGCCAGCAAAGGUAAUGGAGAAGGACUGGCCACAGAGGAGGAGGAAAAUUGGAGUAUGAUGCCAUACGUUGAAAUUCAAAACAUUAUGUUUGGGGAAGGCAGUUGUAAAUUAUGUCCAAAAACUUCUGAGAAGAUGAGUAAGGUAAAGGCUAAGAAUGACCACUACACUUGAUAAGAAGUCUCUUUUGUAAAUCACUGCAGCAGAUUGACAGGAUGCAGACCUAUCUAGAAUGGAUUCAGGAAGAACAAGAGAUGAGGAUACAGUGAAUAUACACAAAUCUGCAGGGGGUUUUGAAGAGAAGCAGAAAAACAGGACAAUAGCUGAGUUACAAAAACUUUUAUUUGAAUUAUUUACUUGUCUGUUAAUAGUAUAGGCUACAGCUGGCAUCAUCUCUUCUUUCCUUUAUGGAUUUUUUUUAGCUUUGUUUUUAGUCCUUUAGGAUAUAUAUAUUUUUUUCAUCAGAAGCUUUACACACAUUAUGAUUCACUUUACCUUAGGGUCUUGGGCCACUACCUCAAACAAGAAACCAAACCAUGGUCUCCUGGAAUAAUGUGUGCUUCUUUUAAGAUGAUACCCAGAAAAAUAGCAUUCUAGGUGAUGGAAGUUAUGAAAAAAUGUCUCUCUAAGGAGCGUUAUGCUUCUUCUAACAUACUGCAGGUUCACACUCCUUUGAGGACUGAAUCAACUGCGAUUUCAGUUGCCAUAACAGUCAGCUGUGUAGGAUUUGCUCAGUUGGUAAGGAGCUAGUGCUGAGAAUGAAGUUCAGAGGGUGAGUCUAUAAACAGCAUUUACUUUUCCUCUGGGAGUUAUGUGGUGGGUGUGGAACCAGAUCAGAUGGGUCACAUAAUCUGUUUCUCUUCCUCCACAGUCUGGGAUAAUAACUUAUAACCAGCAGGCAAUUAGUAUUAUUUUUGCACCUACAGCAAGAACUUUCAUUGAAUCGAUCAUUCACUGUGUGUUUCAGGAAUACUUUCCAGAGGUUGGUAAGGCACCUCCAAUAUCAGUCAGGUAAACCACUGUUAAUGGUGGGCAACAUAAAGUGUGUGGAGGAUGAUGAACUUUUUUUUUUUAAACUCAAACAUCUUGUAUUAGUCUGUUUUCUAUUGUUACAGCAAAAUAUCUGAAGCUGGGUAAUAUAUAAAGCUCAUAGUUUUAGAGGAUGAAAGUCCAAGAUCAGGUGGCCCCUGAUCAAGCCCCUGUUAAAAGGCCUCAUAGAAAAUGGCAUUAUGGUGGAAGUAUGUGAAAGAGGGAGAGAUCACACAAGACAGGAACCCAGAGAGAUUGAGAGGUAGGCUUGCUCUUUUUAUAACAACUUACUCUCAAGAGAACAAAGGUCCCAAGAAAACUACGUUAGUCAUCUUAUGUAUACCCCAUGACCUAACUACCUUACACUAGGCCUCAUAGUUUAAAUGUUCCACCAUCACACUGAAGCCAGAAUUAGACGGGCAGUCAGUGUAAUAGGUAAAUUGAGUCAGGUAGGAUCAAGAAGGCCAAUUUUGAGUCUAAGAAAUUGGAGACUGUCCCCUGAGGGAUUAAAAUGUUAAUUCCUUCAGAGCCCUUCCUCCACCCUUAUCAAGAAUCUGUUCCUGAUCCAACCUGCUUCCCAGGUAAACUUUCCCAGGUAAUCUUUCCCAGGAUUUUCCCCUUCCUACAGUGAGCUAUAAGGUUGUUAAUGUGUCUUGGCUACUCCAUCCAGCUCUCCCCCGCUUCAGCCCAUCUGUUACCCACCUUUUGGCCCUCCCACUGAGCAUUCCUGGGCCUAGUCACCUAUGCAGGAAGGAGAAAGAUAAAGAGGAAAAGGCAGGAGAACAAAGAAAGCCUAGGACAUAUAAAAAGGUCAGAACAUCUCCACUCUGGGGAUACCAGGAUACCAGCUAUGGCCCCUUUCUCCCUUGCGGGAGAAGUCUAUGUUACCCCUUUUAAAAUAAACCCUGCUUCAUAUGCUUGCCUUGGCGUGCUUCUCUAAUGUUCAAACUUCAACAUGUGGGGAAGCAGGAUUCAUCAUCGAUAACAGGCAGAAUCAACACCACCACUAUAAUGGGAAACCAGCUUCCAGGACAUGAAUCUUAGGAGGACAUACUCAAACCAUAUUUAAACCACAGCACAUUCCAUGUGUUAAUUCAAUCAACAAAUAGUGAGGGCUUACCAUGUUCCAGGCAGUGAUGACACUACAAAGAUUAAAACAAUAACCCCCACUGUCAUGGAAUUUAGUUUCUAGUAGAAGAAGACAUAUAAUAACAAAUCAUAAAUAUGCAAUAUAUUAAUUAUGAUAAGUGACAAAAAUAAGGCAGGGGUGAUAGACAAUGUCUUACUUUAGGCUGCCAUAACAGAAGAACAUAGACUGUAGUUUAAACAACAAACAUUUUUCACAGUUCCAGAGUCUAGGAAGUCUGAGAUAACAGUACCCGCAUGAUUGAGUUCCAAUGAGGUCCCUUUUUCUAGUUUCUUCACAUGGCACAAAGGAAAAAGAACUCAGGGCUUGUCAUUCCCUUAUAAGUUAGGGCAUCAAUUCUAUCUUGGAGGUUCCAAUUCCUCACAGAAACAUAGUUACCUCCCAAUGGCCCCAUCUCCAAGUACCACUGAAGCCAGAUUUAAAGUUAGGUAGUCAGUGUAGUUAGGUAAAUCGGGUCUAAUAUCCAGUAAGAUCUAAAAUGGAGGCCAUGUUGAGAAUGAAUGCCUGAAACAACUCAUGGAAUGUUAAUGAAGUCCAAGAAAAAGCCCAAGGCCAGAGCCCAUCCCAAAGAGGUGUUAAUGAACAGCCCCCAGCAAACAUGAAGAUAGCUUAUUCCAAAGAAGUGUUAAUGAACAGCCCCCAGCAAACUUGAAGGUGCUAACUCAGAAGUCCUUCCUAACCAGAUUACUUCUUUGGCCUACCUGUGUCCCACCCCUCGGGCCUUCCCACCUACAUUCCAUCACUGAAAGAAACUAUAAAAUGGAGAGACAACCGCACUUCCAUCUCUUGGGUCCCCUUCUUCCUCUAGGAGAAGUCUUUUCUGGUGUCCUUUAAUAAACUUAUAAUUUUCCACUCUGACCUUGCCUCUGCGUGCUUCUCUGGUGUUAUUCUUCAACAUUGGGGAAGCAAGGACUUGUCACCGGUCAACAGCAGUAACACCAUCAUGGACAGAAUACUGAGGCAGUCUAUGUAAACUGCCAUGGCCUACCUUUCCUGAAUAAUAUCACCUUGCAUAAUAGUUCAGAUAAACUACAGAGCACAUGGAGCAUGACAGAUGAGAGGAAACUCUACUCUCCAUUUUCCUUAAAAAGCUAAUUAAUUAUUUACUAUUUAAGUUUCAAAAUAUUUUAGAAACAUAAAAUAACAUAGCUAUAAAUACAGAAUAUCAAGAGAGCCUUGGAGUACUAAACCUGGUUUAGAAUGUAGUGGCAUUAAGUAAAAUGGAAAUUAAAGAGGUUUCAAAGAAAAUGCAGUAUGGUAGUACUAAAGGAACUCUGCUUCUGGGGGUUGUCAGAAUGGUGUUUUCAUGAUGUAACUUAGUAUUUACGGUAAAGUAUUACUAUGUUACUAUAGCAAUAGUAAGGGCUCCAGAGAGAGGAUAUAACUAUAAAACACAAAGUCAAAAAAAUCAGAAUGAAUAUAUAUAUUUUUUAUUACAGUAAACAUGUCUAUAAUCAUAAAUAUUUCUUUAAAAAAAAGGUCUUAAGAUCUUUGUGACACAAGGUAAGUAAAAAUUAGUAAAAUUAAUUAUAAAUGAACAUAUUUCAGCAUAUAAACCAAGUCUUCCUUGAAACUGUAAUAAUGUGAGCUAAUUAUAUUAUUUUCUAGAAUGACCUAAUAAUUAAUGUGAAGCCCACAGUUAAUACAGAUGACACAUAUGAUACUGUACUUUUCCAAAGUAAAGAAAUAUAUUUAAUUUAAUAUUUUUGUCAAUCCCAUUUAAUAUCACAAAGUAAACUUUACUGGGUAAAAAUAUAGUUUUAGAUAUCAGAAAAAACAAACAUGAAAAGAUAGAUAUAUUAUAUGUACUUAAUUUAAAAAUAUUGUCAGACGAGGAAAUGUAAAUCAUUAUUUGAAUUUGAGAAAAUAUUAUAAAGCAAAGGGCUUUCAAAAUACAGAAGAUAUUCUGAAUCAAGUGAAAAAAUCAAGAUCAUGAAGUAGUGACAACUAUGUCUCACAUAUAACAAACACCGACACAUCAUGGAGAAAAUGAAUAGAACUAUUUCCUUAAGUGGUGAUAAAUAGAUGACAGAGUUGGCUUUAAAAAAAUGCAAGGAACAUAGUAAAUUAACUUACCACCUCAUUAAAAUAAAAGUGAGAAUAAUUCUCUUGGAAGAACUUAAGCACCAUUAGCAGACACAUCUUAGGCCAAUUAAUGAAAUCUUUUGUGUUUCAGUAGAAAACUAUUUCAAUGGUGAAAAUGAUGCAGGAAUCAGAAGCAUAUUCUGCUGAGACACUAGGUAGUUGACACUUUCCCGAACUGGAAAACAUUUCAUAAGAAGGCAUAUAAAGUUAUUGAGCAAAUCAAGUUUGUUGUAAAAAUAACCCAUGCCUAGUGAAAUAGCUUACCAGCUGCCACGACCCUGGGAUCCUCAUGAGACUGAUGCCUCCCAGCUGCACGACUAUCUGCACUCUCAUUCCACCACAGAACAUGAACUGCAGAAAUAAACCACACAGUAGUUUUACAUUAGUUUCUCUAUAAUAGUUCUAAAUAAUAGAUCAUAGACAAUUGUGCAUGCUGUAGAAAAUUUAUAUACAAAGAAGAAAACUAAAAACUAGAAUCAUCUUAACUAUCUAGAUAAACCUCUGUUAAUAUAUAGUGAAAUUCCUUUUAAAAAAUGGUGGUACUGGGAAUUGAACCCAUGAGCUAUAUCCCUAACCCUUUUUAAUUUUUUUUAAUUGUUGAAAAUUUUUUUUAUAUCUUUAUUUAUUUUUAUAUGGUGCUGAGGAUCAAACCCAGUGCCUCACACGUGCAAGGCAGGCGCUCUACUGCUGAGCUACAGCCCCAGUCCCACUUUUUUUUUUUUAAGACAGGAUCUCCCUAAGUUGCUGAUUCUGUCCUCAAACUUCAAUAUUCCUGCCUAAGCCUCCUCAAAAUCACUGAGAUUAUAAGUCUGUGUCACCACAACCAGCAAUAAUAUGAUAACUUUCUGUCAAUGAUAUUAAUUUAAAAAAAUAAAUUUUGCCUGCUACAUAAAAACAUGAAAAUGUAUACAUUAAUGGCAUACCAUGUAAUGUUAAUAUUAUUUUCAAUGACUAUAUAAAUUUCUUCUUAUAACAUCUUUUUUUACUCCAAUUUCAAUUGUUGAUUAUUUAGAUUAUUCUCAAUAUUGCAGUAUUCUACACAAUCUUUUCUCCCAACUUCUUAUUGUUGAUUUUUAAAUUCUCAACAUUGUAGUAUUCUACAAAAUGCUAAAAUAAAUGGGUUUUUUUUGUACAUUAUUACUUAUAGUUUUUUAUAAUUAAAAAUUUCUUUUUUCUUUGCUACUCAGGAUUGAACUCAGAGGCACUUGACCACUGAGCCACAUCCCCAGCCCUAUUUUUUAUUUUAUUUAGAGAAAUGGUGGAUGAACUUUACAAUGAGUUGCUUAAUGCCCUACCAUUGCUGAGGCUGGCUUUGAACUUGUAAUCUUCCUGUUUCAGCCUCCAGAGUUGUUAGGAUUACAGGCGUGCAUCAUCAUGCCUGCUUUUAUCAUUAAAAUUUACUAUAAUAGUUAUAUAGCUUUUGGAAAAUAAAAGAAGAUCAUAACAAACAUAUUUAAUCCUACCACUCUGAAACAACCACUUUUCUAUUUGGCAUAUUCUUUACAUAUUUAUAUGUAUAUAUGCACUUAAUAUUUAUGUUUCUGUAUCUACACCAUAUAUAUAUACAUAAUUUAUAUAUAUUUCUAGUUAAGAAUUAUGAGUUUAUUUAUUACAUAAACAGGGUCAAACCGUGUUAUUUCCAGUAUUUUUCUACUAUAAACAAAGCUGGCAUAAACCUCAUUAGAGCAGUACCUACAUGUAUAUCUAUAAUACAAAUGUCAUUAAGAUUAAUUAUGAUUAAUAUGAAUUUGUACAAAAUAUGAAUACUUAUUUUUUCCUGACCAAAUAGUAUAUCCAUAUAAGCACAUUAAUUAAAAUGUGACAUCUCGGUAUGUCUUAAUCUGCAUUUUCUUUAACAUAUAGGUGGUUGUUACUUGUAUGUCUACCUUGAUGUAAAUUUUUAUUUUCCUUUUUGCUUUUGAAUUUUACUCAUGCUGAUAUGGAGCAUGUGGAAAGUUUAGGCCUUUGUAUAAUAAAGGCAUCAAGUUGAUAUUUUUCCUCUUACAUAGUUUUUUCAUUUACGUUUUGGCUUAGAAAUAUAGUCUCCAUCCGUAUUAUUACCAAAAUUAAUUGAUAUUUUAUUUUAACAAUUCUGACUUUUACAUUGAAUCUACAUUCCAUUUUAAUUUACUUUCAUUUUAAUACAUGGUGGGAGAUAGAAAUCUAAUAAUAUUCACAAUUCUUAUCUUCUUCAUAUAUUCCUCAUCUUAAAAAUACAUUUUUAAAAAUAUAUUCUGGUUAGUUUCUUUGGACAUAUGACUAGGCAAUUUCUGGGUAAAGAUCAGGAGCUCAGCUUUGAUUGGGGUAGGCCUGAGAUAUCUAUUGAACAUUCAAGUGAAAAGUAGAGAAGGCAAUUGGAUACAAUGGAUCUUUCAAAUAUUUUAUUAGCUCUUCUUAAUCUUCUAUCCAAUGGGUGAACUUUACACAGAUAUUUUAGAGUUAGCCACAGAAAAACCUCUCUGAAAUUUUCACUGAAAUUAUAUUCAGCUUUAAGAGUUAAAUGCUCCAGAUAUGCUUUAUUAAAAUUUGUUUCUUUAUAUCUAUUUUUCUAUCUAUUUAUCUAUCCAUCCAUGCAUCCAUCUAUCAUCUAUCCAUCCAUGCUACAAUGUUAUGAAGUUAUUACCAGUCAUAGAUAUACAUUGUUUCUAUCCUUCUUAUAUCUGAUAACAUUUUGGUUUUUACAUUCCUGAUAUGUAUGCAUUAUUUUGAAAUAAUGGGAAAUGAGUAAUUUUUUUCCUUUGGGCUUCUCCAUGUGUUUAGCAUUUGUAAACGUAUUUAUUAAAUUUUCAUUCAAAAAAAUCUCUCUAAACUAAGUAAUGUUAUUUUGAAAAAAAAUCAAGAAAAAUAUAUUUUGAGAAAAAAAGACAAAAAUAGUAUUUUCUUAAGGAUCCUUCCAGUUUAUAAAUUUUAAACCAACAGAAGAAACAUAGAUCACCAAUGUACAUUACACCUCCAUAGAAGACAUGUACCUCUGUUGAGUGUUCCAUAUUCUGUGUGGAAAACACCAAUUAGUCUUGUGUAGCCUCUAUCAACAUGGGCAUUAAUUGCCCUUUUAAAUGCAUCACCCCACAGAGCUGGGCCACCAGGUUUCAUCUGAAAAGUAGCCAGCUCAUAGACUCCUAAAAUAGGGAAAAAAAUAAUUAUUUUACAGAGGAUCUUGAAAUAAUUUUUAAUCAGUUGUGCUUGAUUCCAGUAGUGAAGGACUAACAUAUAUACAUCUACAUAACCUAUAUAAACAUAUAUUUAUGUCAUAUUAAUUAAUUCUUUGCAUUAUUUUUCCUUGCUUUCAUGUUUAGAAAGUUCUUGUCCAUGUUUAAGGGCCACUUGUUAAGUUUAAUCAAAGAGAAGAAAAGGAAAAAAAGACCAGAAACUAUAUACAAAGCUAUUAUCUAAAAUAUUUUUAAUCUAUAAAACUUUGUUGAUGCAACAGAUAUUGAGAAUUUAUAAUGAAGUCAAAUUUUGAGUUUCUCAAGUCUAUAAGAAAAUAAAUUGACAAAAGAAGUAUUUUGUGAUCUCCUAUGUUUCCCUCUUUUUAAUUUGGAGAGCAGAUAUUUUAUUCUUUGUAUAUUUUUCCAUUACAGAAUUCCAUUUUAACAGGAAUUAGCAAGCAAAUGGUUGACCUGAAGUCAUAUCAGAGAAGACAUUCGGCAUUUGUUUUUUAGGGAUUGGGGGGAGAAAAAGUCUGAAAGAGGAUUUUAUGAUUCCUAAAUAUCCAUAUAAUAUUGAAAAGUUUUAUACCUAUAGUCACAAGUAUAGAGAGGAUAGAGACAAAGAAAAUAGGGAAUGAGAAGAUCAGACAAUAGAAGGAAAAAAAUUCCAGAGUUACUAAAGAAUUAUGAACAAUACAGAGAAAGUUAACUAAAAUUUGACAGUACUACAGAAGACAACUAUUUUUAGAUAGUACUGAAACCAGAGGGGAAAUAUAAGUGAAUAAGAAUCCCAAUAGAUGUUUCAAAUUUCUUAUAAUAUAAAAUACACUACAAGUUGGCAAUAAUAUAGAAAAUAAUAAGAAAUUUAAGUUAGUUUAUGCUUUUCUAAUCUGACCUUUGUUUAAAAGUAGAUUGAGGUAAUAGUUUCUUUAAAUCAGUAAGAAGUAAAAGCAGCAUGAAGACAUCUUAAGGAAUUAUUUUCAAACUGAGAAACUUUCUUUUUUUUUCUUUUUUUAUUAGUUGCACAUGACAAUACAAUGAUCUUGACAUAUCAUACAUUUGAAUCAAAUGGGAUACAAUUUCUCAUUUUUCUGAGAGUAUAGGUUGCAGAAUCACAUUGGUUAUACAGACACGUAUAUACAUACAGCAAUACUAGUGUCUAUUUUAUUCUGCUGCCCUUCCUAUCCCCUUUCCCUUCCCCUCCCCUCCCAUCACUUCUGUCUACCCAAUCUAAUGUGACACACUUCUUUUUUUUUACCCCUCACAUCAUCAUACAUGUAUUUUGUAUAACGAUGAGGGUCUCCUUCCAUCUUCCGUGCAAUUCCCCUUCUCCCUCCCUUUCCCUCCUACCUCUCUUCCUUAUCUAGAGGUAAUUUUCUUCUCAUGCUCUUCCUCCCAACCCCAUUUUGAGUCACCUCCCUUAUAUCAGAGAAGACAUUUGGCAUUUGUUUUUUAGGGAUUGGCUGAGAAACUUUCUUGACACAAAAGUUAGACUACACUAAUACAGCUUGGCAGUUUCAGUAAAUACAUUCUCCCCAGUCAAUUUUAUGAACAAAGAUAUACUUAAUGAUUUAAGAUUAGUUGUAAUUUGUGAAAAAAUAUUUUUUGCAAUACUGGGAUUCCAUCUGGGGCCUCACACAUGAUAGGCAAGUGCUAUCCCACUGAGCUAUAUAUAGCCCAGCCCUUUCUAAAUUUUACUAUGAGACAGUGACAGUCAAAUUGCCAGGCUGGAUUUCAAUUUGGGAUCCUCCUACCUCAGCCUCUCAAGUAGCUAAGGAUUAUUGGUUGUGCACCACCAUUCCCAGCUAUUGAAUAUAUUUUUUUUACAUUUAAAUGUUUUAUUACUUUGAAAUUAUAACAAAACUUCAUAUACUAUUCCUUAUUACCUGCCCCCAAAGUGAAAUUUCUUAAACUUUAGCAGCUACAUCAAUCUUCUACAGUGUAACUAAAUUUACCAAUCAACAAAAAUCUCAAUUUGGAAAAAAAUCUUAAUACUCAUAUUUUAAGAAUAAACAAAAAGGCAUAAUUUAAUUUUAUCUCAACAAUCAAAGUAUGUUACCAUAAAAUAAAGAAUUAGCUUCCUUGUUUGCUAAUGGAACUUCACCUUUUAUCACUUAAAAUCUUUAGUAUUUCAUUCAUCUAAAUUCCAAGUGGUGAAGAAGGAAGAUGACUUACCCUCUUUUGGAGGCUUUUCUAAUUUGCACCAUGGCACCAGGUAAGUAAUCUCACUCUCUUGCUUAUCAAUGAGAGCCAAAUUUGGAAUGAGGAAUUGUUCUUGCCAUUCCUUAUCUUUAGCCAAGGCUUUCCGAACUGCAGUUCGAUGAGCAAAAUUAUCUAGGGGAGACAAGAAUUAAGAAAAAGAAACAUUUACAACUUAAAAUCUCCUAUGCUUCUCUGGAUUUCAUCCAAAUCUUCAAACAUUCACCUGUAGCAUAGAGGAACACUGUUAUGCUUUUGGAUAUACUAACAUAAGGAGAUGUGACAUCUGUACUCAAAUUGCUCAUGGGCUUACGGGGAAUAGAAUUGCAAAUGACUAGUGUAAUGUCACAGAAUUGACUUCAUAGGUUCUAUGACUUUGCAGGAGGAAGUUUUUGUAUCCUUCUGCAUUCAGUUUCUUAGUCUGUGUAAUGGAGAGAAUGCAACAUUGUUCUCCAGGCUUGUUAUGAAGGUUAACUGAAUUAAUACACAAAAAGAGCUUAGAACAAUGUUUAGCAUCUAGUUAAUUUCAAUAUUUGUGGAAUAUUCUUAUUAAUUCAACUGAGGCAUUUAACUGAUAGUGCUAGUUCAGAGAAAGAAGAUUUUUCUUUCAUGGUGGCAGGUGCUCAGGUCAAGGUACACCUUGAAUCAAAUUACAAUAAAUGAAAUUAAAAUGUAUUUGGUGAGUCUCUUCUCCUUUGAACAAAGAGCCUUCAAAGAAAUAGUGUUGAUUCUCUUACUUAUUACCAGCCAUUUCCUCCCCCCGCCAGCACUUAUUUUUCUUCUGAGUUAUUCCAACAGGUAUCGACGUUUACCCACAUAUGGGCCUAGUACUGUAUUUACUAUGAAAACCUUAUAAGACUAAUGAUAAGAGUUUUAUAUGGUUUAUGAUGGUGAUAAGAAAUAACAUCUAUCUCACAGCUUAAGUGAGGUAGAUCAGGACUUCAUUAGUUUUCUUAGUGGGCCAUGAUUUAACUUGUAGCACAUCUAAAGCACAAGUUGUGUUUUAAUGGGGCUUGUUCUAUUACAAUAGGUAAAAAUCCUAUACUGUGCCCAUGAUAAGUGUAGAAUGAAUAUAUUUUUAUAAUAAAAUAUUUUAUGAAUAUUAAUUUGGGCACUGAUCAAAUAAACCAUUCCAUUUUUUUAUGAGAAUAGAAGUUUACCAUAUUAUGAUUUAUGACACAACAAGUUCUCAUUCAUAAUAACUGAAGAAUUUGAGCCAGAGGUUGUUAGAGAUGGACCAAUGGAAGAAUUAAUCACUAAAUACACACACACACACACACACACAUAAAGGUGUCAUAUAUUUUAAAAGAUUUACUUAACCUGUAUGUAUCGCUAGUAAUAUAAAUCCAAGAACUAAGUCUUAUACUCAUGUAACAUGGAAUGCAAUGAAAAUCUGUACUGAACACUUAACCAGGAUGAUUCAUACCAUACUUCCAAAUGUGAAACACUUUAUUUAUUCUGCCUCCAAAUUCUACACUCCAAUAUCCAACCAAUUCAGAGUGAGCUGUCCGAAGAUGCACAUUUUUCUUGAAGUUUUCUAGGAACUCAUUCACCUUUGAGGGUUUAAGAGCAUAGGUACGAAAUUCAUAGAACAUUCCAUCAUUUUGUCUGGGGCCUGUAGCAAAAGAUGAGCACACCUGAAGAAAGAUAAGGCAAAUUUAAAGAUUUUGGGAAAGGUAGGAUGUAUCAUGUUACAAAACAAGCAGAACAUACAGCUACUCUUUCCUGGCAAGAGUUCACAAACUUAGCCACUUUUCCAUGAGAAAUUGCUUAUAUGAAGGCAUUGGUAUCAAUGAUACUUCUGUACUGGAGAACUACAAUUGAAAUUCGCAUAAAUUUACAGUUUUCCUUACUUGGCCAAUAUUCAAUUUUUACUUGGUAGUAUAUGUGCUAGUUAUGCAUCUGAAAGAACUUUGUAAAUUCAGUAUGUAUGUCAUUUGGCAGGCACAAUGAAAUGUUUACUAGAAGACCUUUUAAAAAGUGGAAACUGCCACACGUCUGUAAUCCCAGUAGCUUGGGGAAGCUGAGGCAGGAAGAUGGUGAGUUCAAAACCAGACUCAGCAAGUGAGGUGCUAAGCAACUCAAUGAGACCCUGUCUGUAAAUAAUACAAAAUAGGGCUGGGGAUGUGGCUCAAUGGUUGAGUGCUCCUGAGUUCAAUCCCUGGUACCCCCCACCAAAAAAAAAAAAAAAAUAGAAAUUGCUAUUUAGGUCAAAGUAUUUGCUACAUUCAGUGAAUUAAACCAUUGGUCAAAAAUGUAGAAGGUGCUAUGUGUUAUUCAAUUAAUGGUAAUAUAGUGGUGGGCUGUAUGAAUGCUGAAGAAGAAAAAUUCAAGAUGAAUUGUAUGACUCAUUAUUAGUUUCUAAUGACAGAUGCAAAAUGAAGCACAUUUAAUGCAUCAGUCAUACCAGUUUGAUGGACACAUCCCCUAAGAGCCAGUAGUUCCUUUUGUAAUAGUAAUAUGCUCAGUAUGAAAAUCUCUAAUUCGUGUUGUCAGUGAACUUAAUAUUCAUUAGGGCACAUCUUGCCAUAAAUUAUCCUGUAUAUGUAUAUGUCUAUAUACAUACAUAUGUGUGUAUGUGUAUAUAUAUAUAUAUAUAUAUAUAUAUGCACAUUCAUAUGGCACAUAUAUGUACAUGUGUAUAUACAUGUAUAUAUGUAUAUUAUACACAUAUAUUAUAUAUAUAUGUGUAUAAUAUAUACACAUAUAUACAUACACACACACACACACAUAUAUAUGCACAUUCAUAUGGCAUUCUAAUUUACAAAUACAUGUUAUGUAGGUUUCACUAGCCUGAACUAUGUACACCAGAAAAAUAUUUUAAAACAGUUUUGGUACCCACAAAUCUACAAAUUAGGAUUGACAUUUAUAACUUUGUAUAUCCCUUUUUUUUUGCUCUGAUUUUUUAAAAAACUUUAUUAUAUGGUGCUGAAAGUCGAACCAGUGCCUCACAGAUGCUAGGCAAAUACUCUACCACUGAGCCACAACCCCAGCCCCUGCUCUGAUACAUUUAUCUAGAAAACACAAUAGCAUAUGGGUUUCAUUUAAUUGUAUAUAAAGUUAAUAUCAACAUCUCACUUGAAUUCAUUCCACUCAUGUCUAUUAGGAGUUAUAGUCAUAUGCCUAAAAUGACUGUUUGCCAUCAAUCACAACUGCAGCUGGUCUUGUUUGGUGGAAAUUCUGUACUUUUAAACCAAAUUAUAAUAACAGAAUGUUAGUGGAACAAACAACUUUUGUCCACAGUUUAAAAAAUAUGAUAAAUAAAAUAUGUCAAAAAUGAACCAAUAGUACAUAAGGAACUGCACAUUUUAGGUUGGUUAAUGAAUUUCUAUUUGGAAACAGUUAUUCAAACACACACACUAAAGUAUAAUCUUUCUCAGGAGAAUGUGUAUGUGUGUGUGUGUGUCUGUGCACAUAUACGUAUUUAUACACACAUAUACACACACAGAGUUAGAGAACCUGCAUUGAGGGUAAGGGGCUUGGCUGGGGAAUGACGUCAUUUCCUGAUUUUUGCUGCAGGACUAAAACCUUGCUGGGGCAGAAAUCAUCAGUGCUUCAUACUCCCUUUAAGUUAGGACUCAUUCUUGCGAGCAAUGACUAACAAUUCAUUGAGUACCUUUGUAGAAAUGUAAAGUUUACAGAAAAGUUGUAAGGAAAUAAAUGUUGGCCCUGCUCCACCUGAGAGAACCAAUAGGAUAGAGACUGCAUUGUUAGCCAGGCAAGGUGGCCCAUGCCUGUAAUCCCUGCGACUCCAUAUUCUGAGGCAGGAGGAUAGAAAGAUCCAGGCCAGCCUCAGCAACUAUAUGGGACCCUGUCUCAAAACAAAAAAAUUAAAAGGGCUGGGGAUGUACCUCACCGGUAAAGCGACCGUGGGUUCAAUCCCCAGUACAAACAAAACAAAAAUCUGCUUCUCCUUUUCCAUUGUUUUUGGAAAGGAAUUUUAAGCCUAAACAUGGAAAGGAAUACAAUCUCGACGAUAAAUCCACUGGACCACACACAACAAGCCGAUUCCCACGGUUCAGAUCCAAUCCCUGGCUUCUUUUUGGACCUUUCUCAUCUAAGGCUGAAGCAGGUCACGUUUACGGUCCUCAGGCUCAGGCCCCCGCUGGGCUUGGGGACCACCGCAGGACACAGGGAGGGCGGCAAGGUGCCCCACACUGGGACCCUGGCCGACUCUCCAAGGUUCUCGGCAAAAUGCUCGCAAGCUGCGCCUUCCUUUCAAAGGUGAAGGCUGGUGGGGUCGCCAGUCGUCGGUGGUCCUCUCCCGCACCUUUAGUGUGGACGGAGCGAAGACUUGUCAAACCCACACCUACGCGAGGCCGACGGCUACAAGGCCCCGCCUCGAAGCAGGGCGAGCUCCCGGAGCCGCAGCCGCCACGGUGCUGGCGGCAAAAUCGCAACCGCCAGUGCUUUGGGAGCGACUUUGGGGCUGGCUGCUUGGCUCCCAUGCCAGAAAAGACUUCUGUCCACCGGGUAGACGACUCUGACCCAAGGGAUCCCUUUUCCUCCGUGGCCGCCGCCCCAUAUCCACUAGGCAGAGCCGCGUCCGGCGCGCGCGUGCGUGGGACUCGCUUACCAGCCCCGCUUCCGCCCUGGCCCCACCCCGCCCCACUCUGCAGCUCGGGCGCGCCCCCCGGCGGCCGGUACCUGGGGCGCGAGCGUGCGUGCGGUCAGAGCCCGGGCCAGGACGCUUCGGAGGGGCAGCAUGGCGCAGCGUGGGGCCAGGACACUUCGGAGGAGCAGCAUGGCGCAGCGUGGGGCGCCCAGGAAGGCAGCCAGCUGGCAUCCGACGUGAGACUCUCCUCGUACGGCUUCCUGACUGGAAAGGCGCAGCGAAGGGACAGUUAGAGGACAUGGGCUGGGGCGGGACUGGCGCGUCAGCUCCGCCCCCGCCCUGGAGGUGCACCCCGGGGCCCAGUGUGCAGGAGUGUGGUGCCAGCCCUGACCCAGUAUUUCCCCUUUGUUUCCACGACAGUUCUUGCCCCAAACGUUAGAGUUGAUGUUGCAGUAGCUGAAAGCGGAGUUCGUACUGUUCCACCUUCUGGUCUGUCGCCUCCUCAGAGCCCUGUUGUGCAAAUGUUCCGGGUAGAUCGCGUGUGUCUAUGAGCAGGAAGGUGCUGUAUGGAUGCCUGCGUGUGCAGGCUUUGCAUUUAAAAUCAUGAUGUUUUUUUUUUUUUUUCUUUUUUGUUGACAGAGAGCAGAGCUGGGAGCCUUCACUUGUCUUCACUGCAGAUAUUCUCCAUCCCACUUGCCAGGCCAGCAUGGCUUUGAAGAGAUUCAGAUUAGUUUUUUUAUGCACUUAGAGGAAUGGGGGCACUGAAACUGGUAUGAAAAUUCAAAUUUCAGCAUACAUAGAUUGAGAUUAAAUAAUUCAGUAAGACUCAAUACAGUCAACCUCUCACGUGGUCCUGUCUGUGUAAUUAUUGGUUCCUAUAGUAACUAUUUUAUGUUUUAAAGCUGUUUCCUGUAAUUCGUGUUUCUAUCUUUAUCAAACAGGCAUAUUGUAGUGCUUCAUAAUUUUUCAGUUGUAAAUAAUGUUACAAGGCACCUGCCUGCUGAGAGACUGUCAGCUGGGAACACCUCUGGAUUCUUGCAUUCAAGCCAUAAAGAGACCUGUCACUCUGAGUGAUCAGCAUGAGUUUAUGAGAAGGGCUAGGAAAAGGGGAUACUCUCAAGGAAGAGAGCGGGUCCUCUCAGAGAGAAGAAGGAUGGCUUGCUCUUCCAGCCUUCUGGUUUUAUUGGGGGGUCCUAGGGAAGUUUUCAGAAAGCCUGGCCUAGGUUCACCUCUUGACUUUUGACUGACAGCAGGAUGACAUCAGACUUUCAAGUCUCCAUUGCACAUGACAACUCUAGAUUACUUUGGCUCAUGCUGACUGGUUUGUUUAAGAGUCACAAAAGCUUUCCCCUCUACCCUACCAGGCAGGGUUGCAGGUAAAUUUUUUCUUGGGAAGCAUGUGGGGGUCAGCAUAGUGGGCCCACCACUCACAUAUGUCUGUUCCAUAUCUAUAGUAUCUAUUGAUUUGUAAGAUAAAGAUUUAGAUUUCUUCAUCCCACUCCCCAAAAUACACUUCUUUUCCCAUGUUUACUAAUGCUUACAUUAAAAGUAAUUCUUUGAUUGUCACAUUAAUGUACUUUAGUCUAUGUUUAUAUUUACUAACAGUUAUAUAGUACACAUGUUUAAUAAUAUUGUUUAGGUCAUUAGGACUACAGAAUUACAGAGAUCUCAUUGUAUAAGUUGUGUUUUUUGGGAAGGGCUUUUGAGUCAUCUCUUCAGUGGAAAGGAUCCUUUAUAAAAUUAUUAAUUCUGGAUGUGUUGCCUCAGUUUUCCCGGAAGAGAAGAUCCAUUUUUAACCAAGCAAGACUAAAUAAUGCAUUGUUUGUCAGAACUGGAUCUAGAUGAUUAAAUUUAUUUCCAAUUAGCAAUUUGAUUAACUAAUCACUCACUAAUUCAAUUAAUAGUUAAUAAAUUCCUUCCGUGCUUCAGGCCUUUUUCCAGAUACUGUGGUACUGAGGGAAACAAAAGUCAAAGUUCUAGUACUUUGGGGGCAGGCAUAUAGGGUAGGAGAAGAGAAAAUAUAUCAGGGAUUAAUAAAUAUCCAAUAUAGCAGGAUAUAGGGCAAUUAAUUCAGUCGGAUAUGGAGAAUAGAAAGUACCAGAGGAAGACAGCAGAGACUGCCAACUAUUUCUCAAUAUCCACUCUUCCCUCACACUUUUAAAAAGAUGAGUAAUAGAAUACUUAGCUUACUGAGGCUGUGUGAUAGAGUCCUGACCAGUGGGAAGUGUUAGUGCAUUAAUGACCUGUAAGUGAUCUAAAGGGGUGCAGGAGAGAAGAGUUGUUCCUGUCUUUGUUCCUUCCUUAUUUUUUUUUUUGCUACUAUAUAGGCAUAAUGGCUUGAGUCCUUGGCCUACAAGAUAGAAGGCACAUGCUGUUGAUGAUGGAAUAAGAGAGGAGCAGUUUAGGUUUCUUAUACCAUGAAGCAUUAGGAAUCCUGAACUUCUCUCCUUUGGAUUUCUUUUACAAGGAAAUCGCCUUCUAGUUUAAGCCACUGUUGUAUGUCUUAAACAUGUACUUUAUUUUUUAAAAUUUUUUAUUAUUUGUUUUAAUUAGUUAUACAUGACAGUAGAAUGCACUUAUAUUCUUUGAUGUAUAUUACAUAGAUGGGAUAUAAUUUCUCAUUUUUCUGAGUAUACAUAUUGUAGAAUUAUAUUGGUCAUAGAGUCACAUACAUACAUACAGUAAUAAUGUCUGUUUCAUUCUACUAUUUUUCUUAUCCCACAUCCCCUGCCUUCUCCUCCUUUCACUUCCCUCUACCUAAUCUAAGGUAACAUUAUUUGAUUUUUUGCAUUACAAUUCUUAAUACACAUAAAUACCACACUUUUUGUAUUUCUGUUUGUAUAUAAAGUAUGUUGACAUCCAAUUUAAGUCUUCAUACGUGUACUUUGUAUAAUGAUGUCCAUCACAUUCCACCAUCCUUGUUCAUCCAUGUACUUUAAAUGAGAGGGUGAAUGUUUCUUCUUUCUCUUUCUCUCUUUUACUUAUUUGCUUGUAUUCUUUUUUUAUACCUAUCAUUUAUUAAUCACUAAAUUCUGUGCUAAAGUCAUAAAUUUUUUCUCACCAGGAUUAAACCCAUUCAUCAGUUUAUCAUUUUGAUACUCUGGAAUUAACAUCUCAGGACUCCUACUUCUCUUGCUUCAGGGUGUACUAGUUAUUUAAGAUGGUAUAACAGAGAUUCAGGGAUCUCCUUUUACUGGUGUCCCAGGGAAUUUAAUUUUCCUUGUGUUGUACCACCAUUUCAGGCUCUUAUAUUUCCCUAUGUCCAAAUUUUAGGGGAGGGUACAUAGCAAUUAAACUUUUGAAACUUGCGUCUCUAAAAUUAUCUUUAUUCUGCCAAAUUUAUUCAUGGUUUGGAAAUUCUACACUAGAAAUCUUUUGUCCUCAUAUUUUUAAGGCAAUGCUUCAUUGAUAGAUUCUAGUAUGAAAUUGUUUCUUUUUUAAAAUAAUUUUUUAAAUUUAUUUUUAAAUUUUAAUUGUUAUAUAUGACAGCAGAAUGCAUUACAAUUCAUAUUACACAUAUAGAGCAUAGUUUUUCAUAUUUCUGGUUGUAGAGUCACACCAUUCGUGUCUUCAUACAUGUACUUAGGGCAAUGAUAUCCAUCUCAUUCCACCAUCUUUUUUUACCCCCUUGUCCCUUCCCUUGCCCUCCUGCUAAGAGCCACAGCCAAGUAAUAUGAUGCAUGGCAUUUUUGGUUGAAAGGUGAUGCCAGCAAGCCAUUGAGAUGAUAUGAUUAUGUUAAGAUUUGCAUUCAUAUGGAUAUUGGACUCCUGCUGUUCACCUAGGCCUGCUAUGGGACUCCUGGAGAGUUCCCAUUGGUUGGGGAAGUGCGGUAGGAGGGAAUUCCGGAGGAGGAACUUCCUCUUGGGAUCCGGGAGAACGCUGUGAGCACCGGUCAGUCGGCAAUCUUCCUGAGAGCAUACGGGGGCAUUGGCGGCAGUUUCAAAAAUAAAGUUUGUUCCUGCUUAAGUGGCUCGUGAUUUUGUGCCCAGCCAGACUGCAGCACCCUCCCUCCCCUUUGCCCUAUCUAGAGUUCAUCUAAUCUUCCCAUGCUCCCCCUCCCAACCCCACUGUGAAUCAGCCUCCUUAUAUCAGAGAAAACAUUUGGCAUUUGUUUUUUGGGGCUUGACUUCACUUAGCAUUAUAUGAAAUUGUUUCUUAUUCUCAAUGGGAGUUGAUGUGCCUUGGAGGAGGUUUAUUUUUUUCCUUAAGGUACUAACUGACAAAUCUAACGGUGGGUGUAAGAGAUACACUUAUGAAGUCAUAAUGAGCAUAAAAGGAAUUCAAGUGUACUUGUUACAACUACAAGUUAGAAUUUGACAAUAUCUAUGAUUUUUAUUGGCUAAAAUGUCACAGGUCUUGUAGCUCAUUGCCUCUCUUCAUACAUAAAGGAGAUGCUUAAUUUCAGAUAGAAGUUGGUGACAAUAAAGAUGCAAUUUUUAACUGUCGAGGUUAACAGACCCUUUGAGUUCUGUCAGUACUGUCCCUUGAGUUCUGUGUACUGGAGAUUACAAACCUCUUCAGUAGACUACAUAUGCAGCAGUGGAAAUCCUGGACCAUAAGUUAUGUGCAUAUUCAUCUUUACCAAAUAGCGACAAUAUGUUUUGUAAAUUUAUACUCUUAUUGGCAGUGAUGAAGUUAUUUUUUUUAAAGAAUGUUGUCUUUUUCCACAUUUAUCUUGUUCAUUUAUUUAUUUUUUUUAUGUGGUACUGGGAAUAGAAACCAGUGCUUGACGCAUACUAGGCAAACGCUCUAUCACUGAGCCCCAGCCCCAGCCCUGAAGUUAUUAUUAUUUUAUAAUAAGAACAAACUUUAUUGCCCAUCUGGGCUGAUGAAUGUGAAGAUACAUUUUUAUGUCUCAUUACAAACAGGUAUGACUUGCAAGGUGACGGAAAUUAUGAGGUGGCUUAGUGUGGUGAUAGUGCUCCUGCUUGGUUUUGUCCAAAGACUGGGCUCAUGAAGGUGUGCAGAAGAAAGCAGGAGAGGUAGAUCCAAUGCUGGCCCAGCUGAGUAGGAAGGUAGCAGCUACAGGUCAAUUAUAGAUGCUGCAUCUGGUGCUGCAUUCCUGGGGAUUUGUCCCCUCUCCCCCACUUCUCUAUUCUGCAGCUACCAAAUGGUGGCAUAGACCACUGUUCCUUCCACUAGGUGUUAAACUGCACACAUCUAUUUUUGAGUUCCUGUAAUUUAAACAAUAUUUAUUUAAAUUUAGUGGAGAUAAUUUAAUAGUUUUAUGAUACUUACACAUGUAUCAGAGAAGAAAUUUCAGUAAAGGUUGAGUUACUAUCAUAAUGUUUAUGGGUUGCUUUUUUAUUAUUAUUAUUAUUAAAAGGCACUUAUAAUAAAACUCAGUUUCAUUCAGGAUUCCUCAAUAACUGUCCUACUCCUGUUACCAAAUAUUUUCUAAGUGUCUUUGGGGUGUUGAAUAUUGAAUGAAAUGCUGUGUAGAAGGAUAAAGACCAAAUCUUUCCUCUUGAAUUUGCCAAUACCUGUUUUUAUUUCUGUCUCAGCCUAUUUGCUGAUAUCCUUAUUAGAAUCAGUGGUAGGAAAGAGUCAUGAGCAUCUUAAUAUUUAACUAUAUAUACAUUUAUUUGUUAUUGUUUCUAUUAAUAAAACAAAGUAUCUUUAGCACUAAAACACAUUUAUAUAUCCAUUUGAUAUAUUCAUUACAUCCUUUCAAGAUUCUUUUUUUUUUUUUUUUUGGUUACUCUCAUUUCAUUGUGAAAUCUAGAUUUUUAUUUUAUGGAGUUAAACAUAUAGAAAACAUUCAUUCAAAGAGGUUAAGUACUUGCCAAAGGUAAUAAGCAGUUUAGAGCUGGUUCAUUCAUUACUCUCCACUCUUCCAGGGGAUGACUAUACCAAAAUUUUGUUAUUCCUUUUCUACUUAUGUUUACAUGUUUCCAUAUAUUUAUUGUACAAAUACUGCUUCACUUAAAAACUUUGUUUCUAUCUCCCUGGGCAUACCUGUAAAUAGAAUUACUGACUCAAUUCCACUAGAUCCUGCUUAUUUUAAGUAUCAACUCAUAUUCUGACAGGCAGUGAAUAGGAUUUCCUUUCUUUUCAUCUUUGCCAUUUUUUUCCUACUAUGUGAGACUACUAUUUGCCUUGAUUUGCUAUUUAAAUUGCAGUAACUCACUGUUAAUAAAUUCUCUGAUUUCUGGCAAAUUAAUCAUCUUUUUGCAUUUUUAUUUUUUAAAGUCCUAGUUUAUUGCAUUUGUUCAGUUUUCAGUUCAUAUUUUUUCUUAUUGACUUGAAGGUUUACUGAAGAUACUGGAGGGAGGAACAAACAACUGUUAGAAAUACCAAAAAUGACUUUUAGUGUUGGCUUCUUGCAGAAGCCUGAGAGACAUACCUGCUCAGUAGAUGAAUGGCAAAGUCUCCUACCAGUGAAGAGCUAGAAACUCACACAGCAACAAGUUAUAGCCCUUUCAUGGAAGAGGCUUCUGAUUCCCAGAUGGAGUUGGAAAGGACUUUUUGCUCAAACAAGAUCUGUUGUUCCAGGCUAAGCAAUCUGGGUUCAUGAUUGGGCUGUAGGUUGGACCACUGAAGUCAGAAUAUGGUCAUAGUUUAAUUCUGGAACCAGAUUUUCUUUUUUUGUAUUUCAUUUGCAGUUCUACUUCUUGCCAUUUGUGUAUCUGCUGGUAAUUUACUUCUCUGCACCUUAGUUUCCUAAUCUGUAAAAUGGGUCUAACAGUGUUACCUAUGUUACAGCAUUGUUAUGAGGGAAAAAUGAGUAAGUUCUUAGAGUGGGGACUGAUACUAAUAAGGACUUUUUCUUUAAACUUUCAUAAUAUGAGAGAUGUUAUGCUAGCUAGAUGCACUCAGCAUAUGACCUAUUGGAACAUUGAUUUUCUUUCCAAAGUUGAUGUUUAACUCAAGCUGAUAGAAAAGUUAGGGAGAUUAGAAAAUAAUUGGCCAACAGAGAAUACUCUUUACACCAUUGCCCACAAGUCAAUUUUGCAUGCUAACUUUCUUGAUUAGGAGGGAAAAAGUUAUUUCACUCUAUAAAAUUAAAACAUAUAGAUAAUGGUCUGCAGAGAAUCUUCCCUAGUAGAUGCAAAAAACCUAGCACACAGUCUUAGUUUUGAAUACUGGUUCUGUAAAUUAUUAGCUAUGUGUCCUUGGGCAGGUUACUUAGUAUCUCUCAGUCCAGUUACAUUGUUUGUUGAUUGCUGAAAAUGAUACUACUAUUUAGGGUAGUAAUGACAAUGAAAUGUUUUCAUAUAGUAUUUUCCCAUAGCAUUGCAGUAAUGUGUCAUUUAAAAACAAAAAUACAUUCUGAGAAAUGCAUAGUAGGUGAUUUUUUUUGUUCUUGUGUGAAUACCAUAGUAGAGUGUACUUACAAAAACUAAGACUGCUGUGAUGUCACUAGGCAAUACAAUCUUAUGGGAUCACUGCUGUUUAUGCAGUCCAUAAUUAGCAAGACAUGCAGUAUAUGACUGUAUUCAUUAAAGGAUAAUUUCCUAUAUUGAAACCUCACAACACUAGAACCAAGGACUUCAUUUGAAUCUUAAGUUUGUAAAGAAUAAAUUUCUCAGCAACAGAUGGAACAACCUUUGAAUUUACUUGCAAAGUUGUGCAAGUAUUAUUUUCAGAGAAGGUUUGUAUAAAAAAUUUGAGGAAUUUCAAGGAGUUACAUGUUUAUGCUUUUUGAUGUGAUCAUGGCAGGCAAUGGCUGCUAUUGUCUGUGAUUGGAGUCACUGCUAUAGAGUUGGUUUCAGGACUGUGGAAUUAGAAUUUCUUCUCAGUCCUCAGAUUACAAGUGAGAACAGUGAGGCCUUAUGGAGAAGUGAUUUCAUGUGAGUACACUUGUAGUACAGUUAGACCCCGGAUUCAGGACUUGUGGCUCCUAGUCCAGGGCUUGUUCACUCAGUUUUCUUCUGAGCUGAACUGGGCUCAUGGCCUAGUGUGGUCUUUCUCAGUCUUCAGGGGAAGAAAUGCAGGACCCAGCAUUCUGAGUCACCCUAACGUGGGGUUGCUCUUUACUCUGUGAAGUUCCUAGCCUAGUGCUUCUGCCAGGUGACUAGAGACUCUGGCAUUGUACUGCCAGCUUCUAGAAAGUCCUGGAGGGAAGAGGUUUAGUGUUCAGGAUCCAUUGCUUUCACUCUGCCCACAAGGUCUUGGGCCAGCCAUGGGCCCUGUCACCCUCCUUCCUGUGCUGCCUGGUCUGGGAACCUGGCUGGACUUGCAGGGAUUUGCUCUUUGGACUUCUUUCUAACCUUAUCUUUUCCUGCCAUCCCCUUACCCCCUCCACUGCUGGGUUACAGAUUGUCCUGCCAGUUGUGUUUGUCUGCAUUGCCCUGCUGUUCAGCCUGAUUGUGCCACCCUUUGGUAAGUACCCUAGCCUGGAACUUUAGCCCUGGAUGUACAAUGAGCAGUGUACGUUUGUCAGGUACGUGUUUGUCUUCUGAGCCCAGGGGAGAGGAGGAUUCAAGUAGAUCAAGGGUGAUCACUGUGCUGAGGGUCAAAAGAAUAGAGUCAAGAAUUGCACAGUGGAAGGGGUUUUACCAGCUGUGGCUCAGGCCCCUAUGCAAGCUACUACUGCAUGCAAAGAAUAGAGAACUACUGAAAUAACAGUCUAGUUUUCUGGUGAGUACUUCAGUCAAUAUCUCUAACUGCUGUUUGAUGAACCCAGCCUAAUUCCAUUUUAAGAUUAGGAGCCAUCUCAUCACAAAGUCAUGGAAAGUUAAUUUCUGUUUUACUAUAAAUUACUGCGAUUUCUAAACUUGUUUGGAAUUUCUGCCCAUGCCUUGAACUUACCCAUGCCUGGCUUUCCCUGACCAGAUAACAACACUCUCUAAAACCUUAGUGGCACCUCGUAAAUCCUGGCUCCCCAUGACCAGAUAACAACCCUCUCUGAAACCUCAGUGGCGCCUUAUAAAUUUUGAUGUUGGGAUCUAAAUUUUUUCCCUACCUUGAAAUGUUAAGCCAGGUAGAUCAUUAACCUACUAUAUGCCUUUGUAUUAUGCUUGUCGAAAUCCUUUUAUCUGUAAGUUAACAACCCCUCUUUGCAACUUUUUGUGCUAUAAAACUAUGUUCCUAGAGAGCUGGGGUACUGAUUUCUAGUCCAGAGUUUUGGGAGAGACAGUCCUGGCUAGCUACUGUGUACACAAAUAUAAGCUUGCUUUAAAUUGAUUGAAAGUUGGAGUCAGUGGUCUUUUCUUUCCGUCGUGGUUUAAUACUGUUGUGGGGAACAACCAUAUGUGCCUUAGGUAAAGUAAUCUGCCCUCAAUAAAAAUCUAUGAUUAUUAAAUUUUUAGAAAUGUGCUUUAAUUUCAUGUUCAUCACAGGGCUUUCCUACACUGCAUAAAUUUCCACAAACUUGAUUUCUGCACAGUGUGAUUCUCAUAAUUGUUAUCUGUUAAGCUGUACUUAUUAGCUAGUUUGUAUUCUUUAGACAAAAAUAUCUUUAACUCCAUAGCAAUCUAGUGCUUUAAUUAAGAACAAACGAAUUAUAUGAAUGUUGUUAGGCAAGCUUUUUAUUUUUAGUCCUGUAAGAUUAAUGGCUCUGCUGACAGGGAAGUAUGCUAGUAAUACAGAAGAGAAAGGAAGCUUUUUUAAACAAAAUUCCUACACACACGCACACACGCAUGCACUCAUGUAUUUAUUAGCUCAUUUGCUUUCUUCGAACUCUGUUUUCCAAGCUUAGGUUGUGUUUCCCAGAGCUAUAGAACACAGUUUAUUUUGUGUUUGUUACCUAUACCCAUUAUUGUUUGUGCUUUCUAUUUUCAAUGCAACUACUUGGUCAAUAAAAUCUGUAUACCUUUUCCAGGAAAAUCCUGAUGUAUGUCGAUAAUGGAUAAUUGUGAAAGCCCCUUCUAAAUACUGAUUUUUAAUAUACUGACAUUUAAUACACACACAUAUACACAUACCUUCAUACAUAUUUAUAAAACCUCUAAUUUGGAGUAUUCUAUAUUACCUUGAUGCCAAAUAUUUGGGCAGAGUCUCAGUUUUUCAUAGGUGGUUUCUAUAUUUUAUUCAUUUUGAUUUUAAAACCUGGCUCCCAGAAAGUGCUUAGUAGAUUAUUCUAUGUAGAAAAACAUUUCUUCCUCCCAAUUCCUGAUUUGAAUGAAUUACUGAAUUUGCUUGUAGUUACAGUAAUAAUGCUUCUGAAGACAUAGGCUCCCAGGAACUCUUGAAUACCCUCUCCAGAACACCCUUGCUUUGGGACCUAAAGUAUGGAGAAUGCCAUGUUGGCCACGAGAUUCUCCAUGGCUGGCUUCUUAUGCUUGUCACCUGCUUUGAUUUCUGAUACACUAAAAUUUACCAGCUACAUGCCACAUUAUCAUCAUCAUUUGCCCUUUGAGUUAUUUUUUAUUCUAAAGAGAGUAACUAUAGUAACUUACUCAGAACAUCUGGGAGUAAACAUUUGGAGAGUCUAACAUCCUGGGAAGCAAAUCAUUAUAGACCUUUUUUCACUGCUUUAGAACAUUAAGAUUUAUGUAGCACUUCAUAUUUACUUGUCAAAUGCUUUCUCCUUCUUCCACUUUUCCCAAGUCUUUCACCUACCUGGUACAACAGGCUUUCAUUAUAUAUAAUCUGAAGUUUUGUUGAAUUCUUCCCAUGAAACCUGAAAAUAUCAUACAUUAACUUUUUAUAAUAAUCAAUUUCUUCUUAAGAGUUUCAUAUUUUUAUUAUACUGUCCAUCAGAAUCCCUUUUUAAGGCCUAUAUAAAUUCAGUGAUGACUCAGGAUUCCAACUAUGUUGGUGGGGGAAUGUAAGUCAGAUCACUGAGUAAAGACCAUGAGAAUAGGUAGGCAAUUAUGAGUCCAGUGAUGGCAUGUUUUCAACUCCCUGGGUACAAAGACAAAAGAGACACUGCACCUGAUGCGAAGAGUUCUGUGUUAGUGAAGAACACCACUGAUGUGUGUUGGAGACUAAAUGAAGGAAGAGACUCUGCCCUGACAACUUUGAAUGAAAUUCAAAUGUUAAAGUGUUUGAAUCUGUGUUGGGAUUGAGGGAAAUCUGACUAGGACAUGCCCAUGGGUAUUUAAAUUUUUCUCACCAGUCAUCUUUUAAAAGUUUGCACUACAAGAGGGUACUGUAACUAGUUUGGCUUUUCUAUUUAUUUAAGGAACGUUAAAGAUAACAAACCUCAAAAUUAUUCAUUUGAUGGAUUAUUCAGUACAUAUGAAAAUAACAAAUAUUGUGGCUCUUUAUCGAAUUCUGGAACUGGAAGAGACAUAGGUACAACUCAAUGAAACAACUCAUAUUUUAAUUUUACUAGUGAAGAAAAUAAUCCUACAGAGAGGGCAAGUGACUUGCUGAUGUUUUCUCAGUAAUUCAGAGCUUAAGUCUGAGAUAAAAUCUCCUGGGGUAUUUUAAACAACCUAGCUUUCCUAUACCAAGCACUGUGUCUUAUUCCACUCAGGCUGCUAUUUUAACAACACACAACAAGAUGAGUGGUUUAUAAACAACAAACAUUUAUUCUCAUACUUCUGGAGGCUGCAGAUUCCAAGAUCAGGAUGCUGGCAGAUUUGGUGUCUGGUGUAAAGAUCUGCUCUUUAUAUAUUUGCUGCUUUACUGUAUCCUUACAUGUUGUAAUGGGCAAGGCACUCUCUGGGUCCUUCUUAUAAGGGCACUAAUCCUGUUAAGACCUAAUCACCUCCCCACAGAUCCCACCUCCUAGUCCCACAACGUUGGGGGUUAAGAUUCAGACAUUCAGACUACAGCUCACUCUCAUUCCCUCUCUUCCUCCAGUUCUGUACUCAUUUUCAAAACUGAAGUGAGUCUUGUCAUUCUCCAGAAGAUUUUUAGCACAUUGAACAGGCCUGUGUCAUCUGACUCCUCUGUUUCCCUCUUCCUCAUUUCCCAUUAUUCCUCCUUUUAGUUCAUCACCUUCUAGCCCUACUGCAUCCCCUGUUGUUCCUUGUAUAUAAAAACUCAUUCUUUCUGAGGAUAUUUGUACCUAUGCUUUUGUUGACUUUGGUUGUAGUGCUUUAGUGUAUAACUGAGCAAAUGGAGGGGUGGGCUGGUAGUUUCUGUUUGUGAUCAGGAAUGAAUGAAAUAUCAUGUCAUGUUUGAGCUGUGAUCUUAAAAAGCAUAUGAGCUUCGAGGGGAGGAGUUUUGGACCACAUUGUGCCUCUGUGUGAGGGAACUUAGCUUUUUUCUCUUGAGAUCAGCAUAGGUUUGUUUUAGUUAAAAUCAGAGCAAAAUACUCUGGAUGAAUGGGCUAUGGAAGACAUGCUAUGGCCUGUUCCAAAGUGGUGGAGCCAUAGGAGACUGUCACAGAUCUAACAUCUAACUGCCACAAGUUAGCUAUGGGCCUUCUACAGGUGAAAUUAACACAUAGGCCUCUUUCUCUUUUUUUUUUUUUUUUUUUUGUGGUGCUGGGGAUUGAACCCAGGGCCUUGUGCAUGCAGGGCAAGCAGUUUGCCAACUGAGCUAUAUCCCCAGCCCACGUAGGCCUCUUUCUUCACUUCUGGAUUAGGGAGGCUGAAUCAGAAAACUUUUGUAGGCCUUAUCAAUUCUGUCAUUUUCUGAUAUUCUAACUUUGGGAAGGACAUCUGAGCCAUUUUUUUUCCUGACAAUUUCAGGAAUGGGGUAUUGAUUGUGAUGGCUCUCUGCAAUUUUAUCAGCAUAUAGGUUGCAAGGUAAGGACAAUCGAUUUUAAGUGGAUGUGAGAAGUCAUGGUUACCACCCUAAAAUAACUGCUAAUCCAGACAUCAGUAUAACCCCAAUGAACACAAAAACUCAAUAGGCAUAGUUUACAGUUUUGCUCCUUAACAUCUCUUGUGGUGAAGAAAAAUCACAUCUCAGUGCUUAUUGUUUAGCUAUUUAGAGUAAUUCCCCAGGGAAGAUCUUGGCAUGCUAUAUAUGAACGACCAGUACUGAGGGCAGCAUGGACCAGAUCUUGGUGGUGGUUGGUGGAGGGUGAUGCCUGGGCCCUGUGGUUAGGGCUCCAGUCAUAUAAUGGCAUGUGUUGGAAGAACAUGUGUCACUGUAGCCCUUGAUAUGUUUUUUGUGCCAAUUCUUGUCUAAGAAGACACACAUGCUUGAUUUUUAUGUGGUGACAGAGAAAACAGAACACUGCAGACAUCCUUCAGAAUCUGAUGGGAAGGAACAUCUCAGAUUACCUAGUGAAAAUGUAUGUGCAGAUCAUAGCCAAAAGGUAACUCUUUACUAAUUGUAGUCCAUGCUUUAUCAUCAUUGAUUAGAGGAAAUGAAGGCCUACAAAUAGUGCACCCCCUGGGGGGAUUGUCAGAUUAUGGUUUGAUGUUUCUACUGCAAAGUUAGGAUGUUAUCCCUAACUAGACAUGAUGGCGAGAGCUAUCGGUGAAUAUUCAAUUUUCAGCUAAAAGUUUGAGGCAGGCUGGUCUAGAAUGAAACAAAGUAUGGAUUCAAAUUUGACUUCUGCCACUUACUAGUUGCUUGAUCAGAGACAACCCAUUAUCCUUUUAAAGUUCUUGUUUAUAUAAAAUAUAAUGUUAAUGUUAUUCAUAAAACUUUGUUGUUAGGAUUAAGUGAAAUGAUGUACAUAAAGUGUUUUAGAUCCUUUCUCACAGAUGGACUCUAAUACAUGGAAUCAUGAGGAGAGCCCUGGGACGACUGAGCCUAUUUUGACUGUGGAAUUUUUUUUUAAACAGCCUUAUAGUUUCCAGACAUCAUAGUACACUGUUGAAUACUUAGCUGAUGCUCUAGAAUGCUUUUUUAAAUUUUCUUCCCAACACCUUGGUCAGCUGAGUCUCUAGGUUAGUAGUUCUCAAUGACUUCAGAUGGUAAGAAUGUGCUGGAGUGAUAAUGAGCAUGAAUUUCAGAGAAAGAGGCAUGAUGUACAAAUAUGUCAUGUAUAAUGCAAAUAUUACUUUGAAAUGAAAAAGCUUCUAGUUGGUCAAACUUUGAUCUGUAAGGUGGUUUUUAAAAUUUGGCUCAUUCAAGGAAUGUUUUUCAUCUCCUACUUACUCUUUCCCCAAAGUCAGAUUUCCAGUUGAUCAUAGGGACUCAAGAAGUAUUCAGGCCUUUGGCAUGGGCCCAAGAAGGACUGGAAUAAUAGAGGUAUCAAAACUGCCUAUAUUCCUUUCUUUUCCUUCUGGGUUUUGAAGGACCAUCAGGAACUAAGGAAGACUAGGGAAAAGAAUAAUUCUUAAAGUCAAUUUAUACCACUGGAAAACAAAGUACCUUACAUGGCUGCCUCAAAAAUUAUCUCUAUUAUUGCUUCUCAGCUUUCCUUUGUGCCAUUUCCCCAAGGUCCAGGACCCAUAGAACUCUUGAGCAGAACAGAAGCAGACCCUUAUAGUUAGCUUGUCUCAUACUAGAGAGAAAGUCUGUCCACGGUGACUGCAAUUAAUACUACCUCCACCACCCAGUUUCCUAUGUGAAAUCUUUUCAAAGGAACAUCAAGAAAAAAACUCUUAAAUAUAAAUCAGAGCUAAUGGCUCUAAUGUCUUUGAUAGGUUUUUACCUCCAGAGUCAAAAGUAUUCUUUGCCUUACUAUGAAAUUAAUCUGUCCUUUGGAUUUCUGAGGGCUCAAUAAGUGAGAAGUGACAUACUUCUUGUUUUUCAAUUUUAUCUCAGACAUAAUUCAUUAUGUUAUAUUUUCAAUACAUGUUAAGAAUUAACAUAAUAAAAUCAAUAAAAAAUUAAAAUAAUAUAGUUGUAAAUACAGCUAUGAGGAAACUUGGAAGUAUGAAAUCUCUUUUAAGUUGGAAGCACUCAAAACAAAAACUAAAUUUGUAGCACAUCUGUGGAAGUACUAAAGAAGUCUCAUCCUGAGUUUGGUAGCAUACUGUUAAAGCAACAGCUUCAGAGAUGAUAAAAAUAUAAAACUUAGAAAAAUAAUCAGAAUAUACAGGUAGGCUUUUAUUAGGUCAAACAUUUCCAUAUCCAUGAAGAUCACAUUCAAACAAAGAUAUCUCAAGCAUCUUAUGUUAAGUAGGAUCCAAAAUAAAGUAAAUAUUUGUAAAAUUAAUUAUAAAUGAAGACAUUUCAGCAUACAAACCAAAGAGUCUUCAAAGACUUUAAAUACCAGGACCUAAUAAUUUUAUUUUCCAGUUCAGUGACAAUAGAGCUAAUGUGUGACCAUAAUUAACACAGAUGACACAAAUGAUAAUGUACUUUUCCAUGGCAAAUAAAUAUGUUUAAUAUUCUCAUGAAUACCAUUUGAUAUUACAAAAUAAACUUUACUUGACAAAAAUUUGGAAAAUCAGGAAAACAGACACGAUUAAAAGUUUGACAAUGUAUAUUAAUAAUUUAAAACUAUUGUUUCAAUCAUGGAAAUAUAACAUUAGUAUUUGAAUAAAGGUUUGUCAACAUACAGAAGACAUCCUCUGAAAUGAAUGAAAAAUCAAGAUCUUGAAAUAGUGGCAAGUAUCUUUGUUAAGUAGAAUGCAAAAUGAAGUAAAUAUUAGUACAAUUAAUUAUAAAUGAAGGCAUUUCAGCAUGUAAACCAAAGAGUCCUCAAAGAUUUUUAAUCUCAGGACUGAAUAACAUUAUUUUCCAAAUGGUAGAUAUUUUUAAUGUGUGAUAGAUAUUGAAAUGCCUUGGGAAAAAUGAACUUUUUACUUCCUAAAGUGGUGGUGACAAACAAGGGAGAGCUUUAUAAAAUGCAAGGGACAUAGUAAAUUAAUUUAUCACCUCCUUAAAAUAAAAGUGAGAAUAAUUCUCUUGGGAGAACUUAAACACCAUUAGCAGACACAUUUUAUACCAAUUAAUGAAAUCUUUUGUGUUUCAGUAGAACACUAUUUCAAUGGUGAAAAUGAUGCAGGAAUCAGAAGCAUAUUCUGCUGAGACACUAGGUAGUUGACACUUUCCCGAACUGGAAAAACAUUUCAUAAGAAGGCAUAUAAAGUUAUUGAGCAAAUCAAGUUUAUUGUAAAAAUAACCCAUGCCUAGUGAAAUAGCUUACCAGCUGCCACGACUCUGGGAUCCUCAUGGGAAUGAUGCCUCCCAGCUGCACGACUAUCUGCACUCUCAUUCCACCAAAGAACAUGAACUGCAGAAAUAAACCAAAAUUGUUUCUAAAGAGUAUGACAUUGACAUUGCCAUGGGCAAAAGAAUAAUUCUUAAAGUGAGAGUGAGUAAAAAAAUCCUAUUAUUUUAAAUUAAAAUGUCAGUAAAUAAAUAUUUAGAUGAUAAGAUUUCAGAGGAAUCAGAGACUUGAGAAAGAAAUUUAUACAUGAAUUAAUCAAACUCUCUCUCUCUCUCUUUUUUUAGGUGUAAAAACAGAAAGCUGGAAAAGGAAAGUAAGGUAAGACAGUUAAAGACACACUCAAAUUUCAUGACUUCCCACUACAGUUGACUUUAUUGCAAAAAACCAAGGUUAUAAAAAUUGUGUUUAUUAUAGAAAAUUUAUAUGAAACAAACAGGAAAACAAAAAAUAGCAUAAUGUUAACUACCUAGAGAAAACCCCUAGGGCAUUUCCUUUAAAAGUUAACUUAGGGUCUAUUGUAUAUUAUGCUUACUAAUAGAUUCUUUAAAAUUAACAGUGAUUAUCUUCUGUGGCAAUAAUAUUAUUUUUUAAUGAUGAUAUGGAUUCCUUCAUAAUACACAGCAACUUUUUAUACUAAUCUUUAUUGUUGGCCAUUUAGAUUAUUUCCAAUAUUUCACUAUUCUAUAAAAUUCUGGAAUAAAUAUUCUUGUAUAUAAUUAUUUAUACAUUUUUUUAUAAUUGCAAUGUAAUACAAAGUAGAGGUAUAGAAAAAUACAGAUAAACACAAAGAGAAGCUAGGAAUCAUUUCUGGACUUCCCAGAAAUAACUAGUUUUAUAUUUGGUUUAUGUCUUUCCAUACUAAUACAUAUUAUAUAUACGUUGUUAUGUAUAUGAAAUAUAUGAAUAUUUACAGACAUAUCUAUACAUAUAUUUAUAUCUAUGCAUACAUUUUAUACUACAAAUAUAUAUAGCAUAUUUCUAUAUCACAAAAUAUAUUACAUAAAGAAGGUCAUACCACAUUAUUUAUUAUAUAAACAAUAUUUACAUAAAUUUCAUUUGAACACACCUAUGUAUGUAUCUAUAAUAAUGAUGAUGGUGACUACUAUUGCUAACAUUUAAUUGCCUGGAAUGUGUUUGUCUCUAGUGAUGGAACCUGUCAGGCCUUGGGCAUGCUAAGCAUGUGUUCUACCACUGAAUUAUAUUUGUAGUGCUUUUUAUUUUUAUUUUUAGAUAGAAUCUUGCUAAGUUGCCCAGACUGGCCUUGAAGUUGUAAUCCUCCUGCCUCAGUCUCCUGAUAGCUAGGAUUUCACAUGUGUAAUACCUUGCUUGAUUUUAAACAUUUUUCAUGUGUUAACUCAUUUAGUCCUCAUAAUAAUCUAGAUGGUAGGUUAUUACUAUCAUCAUUGUAUAGAUGAGGAAACUAAGGCCCAGUGAGGUUAACUUACCCAAGGUCAUAAAAUUACUAAGCAAUGGUGCUGGGAUUAAAUCCAGGCUGUUUGUAUCUGUUUAUUUCCUUAACAAAAUCUCCUAAAAUGUAAAGUGAGAGAUCCAAGGAGUAUAUCUUAUAUACAUAUAUAUUUUAAAUUUUCAAAUAGUGUAUAUAUUAUACUGUCUAUAUAUUGUAUGUAUUAUACACUAUCUUCCUAAAAUGGAAGAUAAAUAUAAAAAGAAGCUGUACUGAUUUAUACUCAUCAUGCCACAUUUUCUUAGGAUACUGAAAAUGAAUUUAAGAAUAAAAAAGUUAUAAAAAUCAUACAUACACAAUAUCAGAGAUUAAAAGACAGACUUUCAGUAAUCUUUAAUCUCAUCACUCAAAUAUGACUACUUUACAUACUUUCAAAUUUCUUUCGUAUAUAACUGAAAGCCCUUAUAAAUAUAUGCACUCCUGCAUAUUUUCUAGAAUACUGCCAAAGACAAUGAAAAUAAUUUUUUAUUUAUAUGGCCCAAUUUGGGAAGGAAAGAUUAAUGUGAACCGUAUAUAUUAUAUGAGUACUUAUUUACUCCUGAUCUAACAUUAUACCCAUGUAAGCAAGUCUACAUUAAGUAAAAAGUGAUAUCUGCUUACUAUUUUUAAUCUGCCUCUUCUUUUAUAUUUGACAGUCAUAUGUGUUACUACCUUUACAUAAAUUUUCAUUUCCUUUUUGCUUUUGAAUUUAACUUAUGAUGAUUUGUUCCACAUAUAGAGAGUUUGAGCCUUUUUAUAAUAAAGUCAUCAAAUUUUUUCUUCAUUUUUGUUUCUAUUUUUAGCUUAGGAAUAUAGUCCCCAUUCAUAUUUUUAAGUAAGUUCAUCUACAUAAAGUUUUAGCAACUCUAUGAAUUAAAUUUUCUCAUUGAAAUCUAUUAAAGUCUUGGUUUUAUUUUAGCAUAUAGUAUGAGAUAAUUUUUAUAAUAAUUUUUCUCCUCCAUUAUUUUCCAACGUAAAUAUACAUCUGUUUUUGUAUAUUAUGACCAUUUUCUUAUGAUAAACAGGCUGAAUAUCCCUAAUCCAAAAAUCAAAAAUCUGACAUACUUCUGGUCCAUGCAUUUCAGAAAAGAGAUGAAUUUUCUGUGUUGAGUUGGAAGCUCAGCACUGACUAUAUUAGGUUUCAGAUUUCCAUUGUACAUAAAAUAGAGAAGAUAAAAGGUAACUGCGUAUUAUCAGUCUUUCAAAUAUUUACUAGCUAUUCUUUGUCAUCUGUCCUUUCAGAUAAGCUUUACAAGUAUUUUCAGAAUUUGUCAAAAAAAAUCUUGAAAUUCUGAUGGUAAUAUCUUUCAAAUUUAAAAGUUAAAAUACUCUGGGCUGGGGAUAUAGUCCAGUGGUAGAGCAUUGCCUAGCAUGUGCAUCGUCCUGAGUUCAAUCACCAGGGCUAUGCACACAAAAAAAUACAUUUAAAAGUUAAAUACUCCAAAUACGUAUUUUAUUAAAGAAAUUUAUAUUUACAAAUUUACCAAUGGAUAUGUACAUACAUGUAUAUAAAUACAUGCCUCAAAUAAAAAUGGGUGAAUUUUUAUGGGGCGACUUUAGUAUAAAUAAAUUAAUUAAUACAUGAAUGAAUAAAUAAAUUAUGUUUUUACUCAGAAACAAUCUCCCCAGAAAUGUUGUUUCAAAAAUCAAUAAAAAAAUUCAGAAGAAAAAAUAUUUAAAAGGAAUAGGUUAUUUCUUGAGAUUCUGGCACCUAUUAAAAUUUAAUCAUUUUGAUAAUCAGGAAAAUAGCAGUUUUGUGUUUGAAAAGGCUUCAUAAAGAUGUUAACAUUCUAAAUAAAAAGAUGUGACACAGGUUUUUUUCAACCCUUAAAAUUGACAAAAAUACAAAAAUUUGGCAAUAAAAAAUAAAAUGUACAGUAUGAGAGAGAGAAACGUAUCCAAGGAACUUAUUAGUAGAUCACCACUGAAAUUUUAUAGAUGAAACAGAUAACUAUACCUGUGUUGAGUGCUCCAUAUUCUGCAUGGAAAACACCAACUAAUUUUGUAUAGCCUAGAUUUACAUGGGCAUGAACUGCCCUUUUAAAUGCAUCACCCCACAGAGCUGGGCCACCAGGUUUCAUCUGAAAAGAAGCCAAUUCAUAGACUCCUAAAAUAGAAAGAAAAAGGACUAUUUUACAGAAGACAUUCCAGCAUUUUCUAAUCAUGUCUGUCUUGUUUCCAUGGAAAACUAAUCUACAAAUACAGAUUUAGAGGAUCAUAUAUGGUUACAUAGACAUAUUUAUUGUAUUUGCAUUAUUUUUCUUUGCUUUGGUUAUCAUGCAGAUGAUAAAAAGUCUGGAGUUAUAAAUAUAUAAACUAUGAUCUGAAAUAUUUUAAUAUAAAAAUCUAUUAAUAAAACAGAUAUUAAGAAUUUAUAAUGAAAUUGGAUUUUUGAGCCAAGUCUAUACUUUCAGAAAAGAAUAAAAUAAUUUUCCAAUGUCUCCUAUAUUUUCAUUCUUCUUUCCAAUUUGUACUUUUUUCCAUUUAUAUUUCUCUCUCCUUAAGUUUCUUUUUCUAACAGGAAGAACAUAGAAAACAAUGAAAAUAAAGAAAUGUCUCUAAGUUUUGGAGGAAAAAAACCCAAACAAACCUAAUGAGAUUUUAUUGUCCCUAAAUAUCCAAGUAUGUAGUUGAAAUGUAUCUUAUCUUCUGGACAGAAAUAAAGGACUGGUAGAAAGAAACUAGAGACAAGUAGAUUUGAAAGGUACAGGAAAACAUGCAAAGAUUACUCAGGUUAAUAAAAAAGAGGAAGAGGAUCAACGUUAGACACUGAGAAGUCAACUAUUUUAUCUAGAUAGUGCUGACAGAGAAAGAGAUCUAACUAGGAUCUAAAUAAUUCUUGUCAAGUUUCUUUGUAGUGUAGUCUAAAAACAGAGUUGGAAAUAAAAUAAAUCUAAAUUGAUUUUUCUAUUCUGACCUUGGUUUAAUACUGGAUUGAAGCAAUAGUUUCUUUAAAUCAUCAAGAAGUGAAAUCAGCAAGAAGAUAUAUCUUAAGGAAUUAUUUUCAAACUGAGAAGAAAGAGGAAGACACAAAAGUUAGACACAAAAACUAUAGUGAUAUAGCUUGGUAGAUUCAGUAAAUUCACCCCCCUCAAAUAGUUAAUUUUAUAAGCAAAGGUGUACUAAUGACUUAAGAUUAAUUAUAUUUUGUGGAAAAUAUUCUUAUUUAAAUAUUUAUGUUACCUUAAAAUUAUUCUUUAUUUUCCCACAUGUGGUCCCUAUUUCUAAUGUGCAAUUUCUCAUCUUUAACUGACUAUGUAGACUUUUUCUGUAACAGCUAAACUUAGCAAUGUGUAAAAUUUCAAUUUGGAAAAAUUCCUCAUUAUUUAAUUCUCAUUUUAAGCAUAAGCUGGAAGAUUCAACUUCGUUUUAUCUUAACAACCACAGUAUGUUCCCAUAAAACAAAGGAUUAAUUUCCUUGUUUGCCAGUGGAACUUCACCUUUUAUCACUUAAGAUCUUUAGUAUUUCAUUCAUCUAAAUUCUAAGUGGUGAAGAAGGAAAGUGACUUACCCUCUUUUGGAGGCUUUUCUAAUUUGCACCAUGGCACCAGGUAAGUAAUCUCACUCUCUUGCUUAUCAAUGAGAGCCAAAUUUGGAAUGAGGAAUUGUUCUUGCCAUUCCUUAUCUUUAGCCAAGGCUUUCUGAACUGCAGUUCGAUGAGCAAAAU
rnacentral:lncRNA from 1 species